UUUUAAUCACUAAUUAUUUAUAUACAUAUGUCUUCAUAUGUAAUUAGGAUCAUUGUGUGUGUCUAAAGUCUUCACUUGACACCAAGCACUUGUCCGAUCCUUCCUUACGAUAACAGUCCGUUCAAUUCCAGUCACUUACUGCAGGUGAGUUCAUACCCCUUAACUAAUGUUUUAAACUAUUUUUAAAUGUUUUAUGGGGGGAUACAAGUAGAAACAUGCUUGUUAUUAUAUCAAUCACAUGUGAUUAAUAAGUAGAAUUAUGCUACUUAUUACAUCAAUCACAUGUGAUUAAUAUACAACAUUCAGACGAUUUGGCUACUCAUUAGCCGUUUUACCAAACAAUUUCCUUCAAAUGAUUUUUAUAAACAUUUUAUAUGUUUUAAACUCCUUAUUACACUGUACAUUUUACUCUUUAUACUACAUUGCAAACUUAUUUUCAAUUGCGUUUCAAACAAACGUUUCUUUAUACUAAACUGUUUUAUCAAACCCAUGCCUUCAAAUUGUUUUAUAGAUUGACAUCAAGUCGAUCUUUUCUUAAGAUAUUAAUUUUGUUCAAAUGUUUUACAAAACUUAUUUAUGCUUUUAUAUUAUAAAUUGCAUGCCUCUAUAUGUAUAGUUAUAUAAGAAAUGUUUAAAAGACUUAGGAAGGCUAUCCACCCUAUUUCCUUUUCGCGCUUGAGAUGUGGUUUGGUGGGAUAUCGGGUAUUCGUCCGAAAGUCGUUUAAAUAUUAGUUAUAUAUCAUGUGUACAUAUAUAAUCAUAAAAGGCCCUUCCAGUUCAACAGAUACCCUUGGGUAGCAAGGGUAUACCUCCACGUCCAUACGUAUCAGUUAGAUCACUAGUAAACUACCAUAUGGGUAGUUUAGGAAGAUACUAGAACUAUUACUAGAACGCAAUAUCAUACAAUGAGUCAGUUCAUUCAUGAGUCAUUACUUUCUAGAUCAUUACUGUACAUUACUAUACUUGCUAGGUAGAGAGCACGUACAUGACAUCUAUAACAUUACGUUACAUUACUAUACUUGCUAGAUAGAGAGAACACACAUUACAGCUAGCACACGUGGAACAUUACAGUACAUUACUAUACUAUUACAUGAUCACACUUACAUAAGUACAAUUACAUGAUCACACUUACAUGAGUACGCUUACAUAUACAUAGGACAGACGUCACUAGGUGCUAUAGCAUGGAACGAGUUCAGGAUCUAACUAUACUGCUGAAUCACAACGCAAUUGUGAUAGUUAUAUCAACUAUAUAUGAUCAUAGUAAUGUGGAUGCUCACGGCUUGCAUACAUGCAGUGGUCGUGGGUAGGUCCCGAAAUCCCUUUGUUAGGGGAGCGUAUAGUCUGAGAUCUAGACAUCACAUUAUACCUUAUCCCUCAAAUAAGGUAGUUGGGUACCGAUGUAGUCAUUUAUUUCAAAUGCUGCAGUACUCUUAAAUAUUACCUUGGUCUUAAGGUAAUUGGUAUGGUUGUAGUCCGGUACUACACCAUAGUACUAUUUCAUAUACAAAUUCUUACAUAAAAAUACUUAUACACAAAUUACGACACUAAAUACUUAUGAUCUCACCAGCUUCAAAGCUGAUACUCGCUUUCAAAAUUACUUGUAUCCUCAGGUUAUCAUAGACAGUUACCGAUGCAACGAUAAAGGAAGAUGGAGCUUGUUCAAGACUCAUCUUUCAUUUUGAUUUAUGCUUUAGUGUUUAUCAAAAUUUGACAGAACACAUUUGUAUAAUAAUUGUAUUAUUAAUGCAAUGGAUGAUGUUGUUGCUUGUUUACUACUUUACAUUGUUGUUAUAUUAUACAUGACGUCCUCCGCCCCAGAACGUUUCUGCCAUUCAUGGUUUUGGGGUGUGACAUAAUUAGUGUGUCGGUUAACCACACACGCACCAUUAAUCAAUGAUAAUUUACAAGACACCCAUUGCCAACAAUAUUAGUCCAUAUUAGUGUGCCGGUUAACCACACACGCUCCACUAAGGACCAAUAAGGUGUAAUGUGAAAUUUCAUGGGUUAGCAUCAAAUUCACAUUUUUCCUAAAGUAACUAGGAAUGGGAAUUUAGAAAAAAGGUUUAGUUGCUUUAUAAUUCAUUAUACUUUUAAUGAGGAAUAAUGUCCUAUCAAACCCGUUCAGAUAACGACCCUUCACUAGUCAAGAGUGCGGUGGGUAAAAAUGGAUACCUAAUGGCGGUCAUUUUAUAGGACGCUUCCUUAAACACCCCUUAUAGACCAGCUUUGUGAAUGAGACCUACUAACGGUAAGACUNNNNNNNNNNNNNNNNNNNNNNNNNNNNNNNNNNNNNNNNNNNNNNNNNNNNNNNNNNNNNNNNNNNNNNNNAAUAGUAUAAGGAUGUAUUUUCAACUUUUAAAAUACUAGGGGUUUAAUCCUUUAAAUAAAUUUAAGUUUUAAUUUGAUUACAUUUUAACCCUUUAUGGAUUUAUUAAUUAUCUUUUAACUAAACACUUAAUUAAAUUAUUAAUAACAUCCAUAAGGAUGUACUUUAAACCUUUUAAAAUACUAGGGUUCAUAAAUUUAAGAUUUCAAAAUUAAACUAUUUAAUUAAAUUUUAAAUUGUAAAACCAUAGGGUGUAUUUUUAAAACUAUUCAAAAAUACUGGAUCAAAUUUUAAAUAGUUAAAUUAAUAAAUUAAUUUUGUCUUUAUCAUAAAAUUUGACCAAAUAAAUUAUCUUGAUAAGGACAUACCUUUACCUUUUCAAAAAAUUCAAUUUUAAGCAAAAAAACGAAUUAAGGCAAUUAACCAAAUUAAAUCAAGGUAUGAAAAUCGAAAAAUCAGGGAUAUGACGAGUCAACUCGUCGAGUUCUGGGCAAUGAAAUCGUCGAGUUUGAUUAACUUGUCGAGUCCCAUGAGAAACUCGUCAAGUUCAAUGAACAUAUUGAUGAAUCUGUUCCCUCCUCUUUUGGACAAUUCAAAUAUGCAUCAAAUUCAAAUGAAAAACAUCCUAGGCUCUGACACCACUGAUGUAUUCUGAGCAUAACUACAACCUAUGUGUUCAAGCAACCCUAAUUGCUUUGGAUCUAUAUUUUUCACUAUUUGAACAUGAAAAUUGAAUACCAAAGCAAAACCCUAGAUCUAGCAUAUGAUUUUCAAAAAUUACAUAAUAAAAUGGUUUUGAUGUUUACCUUACUUGUUACGUAGCAACAACAAGAAACCUUGUAGAUCCUUAACUCUUGAAAGCUUAGUGCCUCAAAUGUUGCACCUCUAAUGGCUUACAAACACCACUAACAAGAGGAUGAGAGGAGAGAGGAGGGAAUAGCACCAAAUUUUGGCUAGGGUUUUCUAGAUGCAAGCAUUUUCCGAAAAUCAUAAGUCGUGGGGUUCUUUAUAUAGUUGUGGGCUGAAAGGGUUUUUUUGGAGGAAACCUUAAUUUCCUGCUUAAGGCUUAUGUAGCCCAUGGACUCCUCAUUUAGAGACCUUAGGCAAAACAUAUAGGGCCUCCCUAUAGUUUUCGUCCACUCCCUUCUAUGGAGUCCACUAACCCAGUUUCACAACUAUCAAUGAUGUGCAAAACAACCCCUGUUUCUUUAAUAAGUUCCUUUAAUCCUAAAAAUUAAUUCCAAAUUAAUUUAUGAUUAAGCACUAAUUAAAUAACAUGAUUUCUAAUUAAUAUAUGAUUUUCAUAAUACUUUAAUAAAUCAAUUUAUUAUUCCAAAUAAUAAAUUCAACCUCUCUCUCCAAAAGUCAUCUAGUCAAGUUGCUAGAGUGAAGGCAACCCAAAAGGACCAUGCUACUAUGAAAUCAUGUACAUACCAAUUAUAUUUAUGGACUUAGACACUUAAUCCAAAAAUUCCAUGGUUAUGAAGUCAUAAAUUCAAGAUACAUUCCUUGAACACUUUUCUUGCAUUAAAGUUUCCAACUCACAUGUAGAUUUUGCAAACAUCUCCCAUUAUGGAAACAUUUUCAUAAUCCCAUAUGACCAUUAAUUCUGACCAAAAAUCAUCUCAAUCUAAAAUGUGCCACUAUGGUCCAUCCCAAAUAAUGUCACACUUCUACCUAUCCACAAGCAACCAAUCUUCCGUAAAACCUCAUAAUGUUCGUGAUAGUUGUUUAACAACCUUAGUCACAAAAAAUUCUAAUCCUUUUCACACAAAUCUCUAGGCAUUUGAAAAAUUAGAAUAAGUGAAUAUUAUAGUAUAUAUGUAAUCGAUCCUAUAUCUGAUGCAUAUGGGACUCGACUCAUUAUGCCCUAUACAAGGAUUUAAUAUCUAUUCAAUUACUAUCUAUAAUAUUUCUACAUAUGGAAUCUCCAACGUUAAAACAUUUCAACAUGAUAUUCAUAUAUUUAUUUGACUAAGUUCUAUUAGACAAUACGAUCUAAACCUUUGGACUCAAAAUGAAGUAUGAGUGCCAUCUCCCUUAAGUCCACUAUAGUGAAACAUUUUCUGACCUAUGCCAUUUGCAAAAACAUAGACAUUAUUCCUACAAACAGUAUUGUCAACAUGCAAUACCAGCAUACAGUUGUGCUUCCACUAACUUUGACAUGUACCCAAAAAUAAAUGGGCUUCAAGAAAUAAAUAACCUUUGACUUUCUUACGGAAGUGCAGAUUUAUGUUAUGCAAUGCUUCCAUAAGUCUCCAACUAUACUUCUUGUGCUUAUAUACCUUAGUUGGAUAAUGUGUGUGUGUGUGUUUAAACCAUUUCAAGACUAAUAGAAAUAUAUGUUGAAAGUUCAAACAAUUAGUUAUCAUUCCUCAUAAUUUGAAAUAUGAAGAUGGAUGACAUAAUCAUAUUGUGAAUUUAAAAAUAAAAUUUACACAACUAAUAUCUAUAUAGACCAGAUCCUUAAAAUCCAUUAGCAAAAGUAUUUCCACAUAACCAUAUUCAUGAAUUAGAGCAAAACCGUUUGCCAUUUAGAUUUUAAGGUGCAUACGUUCUGAUCCAUGUGAAUCUAUCAAUUCCAACCUACAGUCAUAAGACAAGAUUUAGGGAAAUCUAAAAUCAAAUUCAGUUUUCGUUAAUGGACUAAACUUCGAUAUUUUUAAUAUCUUGCCUUAUUGUAGCUCAAGGGCCUAUCAGUGCUUCCAUGUUGUUAACAUCUUACCCAUAUUGAUCAAUAUACUUUCACUGAUCAACGUGCUUUGCCUUUUGCAGUUAAAUUAAACUAAUAGAACUAAUAAGCAUUGCCAAAUCAACUGAAAGUGCACAUAAAUUAGAACAUUUCAGUUAGACACAACAUGUUGUAAACCUCAGGCCACAUGCUAGUGAUGACUAAAAGGAUCAUUAUCAGUUGUCACUUGUAAGAUCUCAAGAUCAAUACGCCUCCUACUGGAUUCUUGACAUAUAAGUUUCUCUCUCAAGGAACAUUUCUUGACGGGCUAAAACAAAUAUUCAAAAUUUUGUGCGGACUGUCAACAAGAACACACUCCAUAGAAUAGGACUUAUUUUAUCUUUUGUUUCUUGAUCAACGAAAACAUCAAAACUCCAAUUCUAAAUGUGCUAGAGUAAGGAAAGCAUUCUUUACUCCACAUAUUAUGAGGUGUUAUAAUCAUUCUUAGUUUGAAAUUAGUUUCAAGAUACAAUUUUUAGUUACUAGAGCAUGUCUCUAAAACUUGAUUGGAACAAAGUAUGAAUCAUCUAUGAUUGAACCAUUUCCAACAAUGCUUGAUUCAUCCUGUUAGUCAUACACUUUCACUAAGAUGUUAUUUUGAGUAUUGAUUGUGAUACAAUUCCACAAUUACUAAGAUGAUCAUAAAACAUUAUACUAAAGUACUCUCCUUUUCCCUUCAGAAUAGAGAAACUUUUAUCUUUCUGCCUAAUAGACUCUUCUAUUCGUUCUCCCACUCUUCGAACCUUUUCAAAAGUAUCAGAAUUCUGUUUAAUCUUAUACACAUACUUGUUGAAGCAUCGGUAAAUAAUGAUGAAUAAAGUUAUCAUCCCUUGUGGUGGAUCUGCAAAGUCCAUAUCAACAUGUACUAGAUCCAUUAGUCCUUCACUUUCAUCAAAUAAACAUGUGAACAAAGAAUUAGUUAUAAUUUUGUAGUGAACGAGAUUCUCAUGCAUCAUCCAAUUUUAAAUUGUAUGACUCAAAGUUCCUUUCCAACUGAAACUUAGCAAUGAGGUUUGUUUUCACUUGGUCAAAGUUGAUAAUUCCAGAAGCACGUUCUAAAAGAAUCAAUAUCCACCAUUAAUAUUGCCAUUAUUAGAAACAUAAUCAACACUUUCAUAAAUUCCAUUGCAAUGAACUACAAAUAAGGCAAUUUCAUAAACCAAAAAUUCAUUUUAUUUCUAAAUAAAAAAUUGGAACUUGGCCUUACAAUGCAUAAAAUGAAAAACUAUAUUUCUAGACAUCUUCGAAGAGUAAUAGCAAUCUAUUAAAUUUAACUAACUCCAUAGUAGUAGCUCCAAUUCCAAACCAUCGAACCAUGUGACCGAAGUCAACUUCUCACGAUCAAAUUUACCUCACAUUGCUCAAGCUUCCUUCUUUCAUCUAGAUUUUCAAAUACCAUAAAAAUGUGAUCAUCACAUUAUGUUUUAGGAGUCUAAGAAUAGGAACUUAUGGAGUUAGAUAAUGGAUGUACAUGAAGUAGAGUCACCCGAAUUAACUUUACUAUCUAUAAGAUCUUUUAGGUAUUUCGGGUAAUUUCACUUCCAAUGUACCUUCAAUUGGUAGUAGAAACAAAUGUAAUCAUUAUGUUCAACAUGCGGAACGAUCUCAGAAUGAUUCUUUCUCUUUACCAUAUGGUCAAACUAGUUGACCUUGGUCGAUCCCUUUCGAUUGGUAAGAGAAAUCUUUUCUUUAUCACAUAUGUUACCAUUUUUAACAUCCUGUUUUGGGUCGUUCGUGAUUUAGGGUUGUUGGCUGUAACCUGGGCAUGUGGAAGCCUUGGGGCUAUGACUAGUUGCUAGAAGCAUAGGGCUUCUCGUUACCUUUUCGUGGAUAUGAGGUUCAGUGUAAACGGAUUUAUAUCGAGGAAACUAUGGAAGUUUGAAGUUUUGACAAGAUAGGUCCCUUAUUUGAGGAAGGUGGCAGCUGAGUACACUGGGCGUACGCGUGUGUACGCUUAGCAUACUCAUGUGUGUGAAUUUGAAGUAGAGUCACCUAGUACGUUGGGCAUACCAGAGGGUACGUUAGGUGUACUAGGCACAAAGUGAAAAAUCUAUAUCAGGGGGUGUCCUUAUAUAAAGAAUAAGAUGGCCUCAUUCCUGGCCACCAUCCUUAGACAAUCAGCCUUCUCAAACCCUAAAUACUCAUCCAUUGAGCUUGUAUGUCCAUUUGGGAGAUAUUGAGUGAUCUUGUGUUUCUUUGGAGUAAAGAAGGAGCCUUGAAGAAGGAGUGGGAUUCUAGGCUUUGGAUCUGAGCUUAUCUGAGUUUGAAGCUUCAUGUUGAGGUAUAAAGCUCAAAGAUUUGUUACUCUUUUGUUUUGUGCAUCAUUUUAGUGUAUUUUAGGGUUUUAGUCCCACAGUUGGUGACUUUAUGAGAUAUUGACCUUCUCACACCCCAAAACCAAGAACGACGGAAACGUUCUGGGGCGGAGGACGUCAUGUACAGUAUCACAACAAUGUAAAGUAGUAAACCAGCAACAACAUCAUCCAUUGCAUUAAUAAUAUAAUUAUUAUACAAGUGUGUUCUGUCAAAUUUUUAUAAACACUAAAGCAUAAGUAUUUUAGUGUCUUAAUUUGUAUGUAAGAAUUUGUAAUUUUAUGAACUGUAAGUAUGGAAAAUGUAUAUGAAUUGUAAGUAUUGAAAAUGUAUAUGAACUGUAAUGUAAAAAUGUUUGUAAAACAACUGUAAACGUUUGAAAAACCCUAGAAAUCCCUAUGAUUCCUACUAUUAUAUAAAGUGUGUCUUCUACCAAGACCUAACUGUUCUCAAUGUAGUCUUAUACCAAGACUUAACUGUUCUAAAUGUUCAUUUCUUGUAAAAGUGUGUAAUUUUCCCAAGUGUAACUAUCAUUUACAAAAUAUAGUUUGUACAUCUAAUGUUUAAGUGAAAUGAUCACUAAAAUGUGAAAAGGGGAAAUUAAUGUAGUACUGUAGUGUUGUAUUAUAGGAACUACUGCUGUACUAACUACCUUAAACCGGAUUUAUAUUAAGGCAUCAUGUGAUUAAUUGCACCAUACUAUUGACUAGUAACAACGACAGAAGAAUGGUCGUAAAAAAAAGGUAUGACGUUUGGCACCCGCAGACCUGCAGGUCCCGCUGUAGCUAGCAGCAAGGUGUACGAUAGUCAAUCCAGUAUAGAUCUAUACGCAAACUCACGCUCUCCCUUCAAGAGACUCUGGCUACAACUCGGGCCAUGACAUUUAAGGCAUGCUCCGAUACAUAUCAAAAUAAUUAACGUAUUCAUAUGUAUAUAUGUAAUGUAAUGAACUGUUCUAGCUGUAAUGUAUGUGCUCUCUACUUAGCAAGUAUAGUAAUGUACUCGUUCUAGUAUCGUUGUAUAUGUUCUCCUUCUACUAUAUUUGUAUAUGUUCUUCUCUAGUAUAGUUGUAUAUGUUCUUCUCUAGUAUAGUUGUAUAUGUUCUUCUAGUAGUAAGUAUUGACUCAUGAAUGAACUGACUCAUAGUAUGAUAUCGCGUUCUAGUAAUAGUUCUAGUAUCUUCCUAAACUACCCAUAUGGUAGUUUACUAGUAAUCUAACUGGUACGUAUGAACAUGGAUGUAUACCCUUGCUACCCAAGGGCAUGGGAUGAACUAGAAGGACCUUUUAUGACUAUAUAUGUACACAUGAUAUAUAACUAAUAUUUAAACGACCUUCGGACGAGUACCCGAUAUCCCACCAGACCACAUCUCAAGCGCGAAAAGGAAAUAGGGUGGAUAGCCUUCCUAAGUCUUUUAAACAUUUCUUAUAUAACUAUACAUAUAGAGGCAUGCAAUUUAUAAUUUAAAAGCAUAAAAUAAGAUUUGUAAAACCUUUGAACAUAAAUAUUUUCUAAGAAAAGACCGACUUGAUGUCGAUCUAUAAAAUGGUUUUGAAGGCAUGGGUUUGAUAAAACAUUUUAGUAUAAAGAACAUUUGUUUGAAACACAAUUGUAAAUAAGUUUGAAAUGUAAUAUACAGAGUAAAAUGUACAAUGUAAUAAGGAGUUUUAAAACAUAUAAAAUGUUUAUGGAAAACAUUUGAAGGAAACUGUUUGGUAAAGCGGCUAAUGAGUAGCCAAUCAUUUGAAUGCUGCUUACUAAUCACAUGUGAUGGAUAUAAUAUUUAGCGUAAUUCUACUUGUAUCCCCCCUAUAAAACAUUUAAAAACAGUUUACAACAUUAAUUAAGGGGUAUGAACAUACCUGCAGUAAGUGAUUGGAAUUGAACGGACUGUUAUCGUAAGGAAGGAUCGGACAAGUGCUUGGUGUCAAGUGAAGACUUUAGACACACACAAUGAUCCUAAUUACAUAUGAAGACAUAUGUAUAUAAAUAAUUAGUGAUUAAAACACUAAUUAUACAAGUGUAAACAUUUUAACGCGAGGAAAACACUUUUGGUCAAGUGCUAGGGGGCAAAUGGGUUGCAACAAAGGAGUGCACAACAUCUAAUGGGAGUUUAUGGUCAAAUGACCAUAUUCUUUGGAGUUUACGGCCCAGGGGAGUAAACUCCUGGCCGUAAACUCUCAACCAAGUCCCUAAAUGGAGCUUAGAAUUAUUACAACUCAUGUGGUGAAUUGUUUCAAGGCUAUAACAAGUGUUUGGGUGCCAUAUUAACUCCUUUGGGGAGUUUACGGCCCAGAGACCAUAUUCCCUUGGAGUUUACGGCCGUAAACUCCCUUGGGAGGGUGUUUAUGGUGUUUUCAAGUCUCAAACAUUUCNAUGUAAUGUAAUGAACUGUUCUAGCUGUAAUGUAUGUGCUCUCUACUUAGCAAGUAUAGUAAUGUACUCGUUCUAGUAUCGUUGUAUAUGUUCUCCUUCUACUAUAUUUGUAUAUGUUCUUCUCUAGUAUAGUUGUAUAUGUUCUUCUCUAGUAUAUUUGUAUAUGUUCUUCUAGUUUUAUAGUUGUAUAUGUUCUUCUAGUAGUAAGUAUUGACUCAUGAAUGAACUGACUUAUAAUAUGAUAUCGCGUUCUAGUAAUAGUUCUAGUAUCUUUCUAAACUACCCAUAUGGUAGUUUACUAGUAAUCUAAAUGGUACGUAUGAACAUGGAUGUAUACCCUUGCUACCCAAGGGCAUGGGAUGAACUGGAAGGACCUUUUAUGACUAUAUAUGUACACAUGAUAUAUAACUAAUAUUUAAACGACCUUCGGACGAGUACCCGAUAUCCCACCAGACCACAUCUCAAGCGCGAAAUAGUGUGGAUAGCCUUCCUAAGUCUUUUAAACAUUUCUUAUACGACUAUAGAUACAGAGGAAUGCAAUUUAUAAUAUAAAAGCAUAAAAUAAGAUUUGUAAAACCUUUGAACAUAAAUAUUUUCUAAGAAAAGAUCGACUUGAUGUCAAUCUAUAAAACGGGUUGAAGGCAUGGGUUUGAUAAAGCAUUUUAGUAUAAAGAACAUUUGUUUGAAACACAAUUGUAAAUAAGUUUGAAAUGUAAUAUACAAAGUAAAAUGUAUAGUAUAAUAAAGAGUUUUAAAACAUAUAAAAUGUUUAUGGCUAAUGAGUAGCCAAUCAUUUGAAUGCUGUUUAUUAAUCACAUGUGAUUGAUAUAAUAAUUAGCAUAGUUCUACUUGUAUCCCCCCCAUAAAACAUUUAAAAACAGUUUACAACAUUAAUUAAGGGGUAUGAACAUACCUGCAGUAAGUGAUUGGAAUUGAACGGACUGUUAUCGUAAGGAAGGAUCGGACAAGUGCUUGGUGUCAAGUGAAGACUUUAGACACACACAAUGAUCCUAAUUACAUAUGAAGACAUAUGUAUAUAAAUAAUUAGUGAUUAAAACACUAAUUAUACAAGUGUAAACAUUUUAACGCGAGGAAAACACUUUUGGUCAAGUGCUAGGAGGCAAAUGGGUUGCAACAAAGGAGUGCAAAACAUCUAAUGGGAGUUUAUGGUCAAAUGACCAAAUGCUUUGGAGUUUAUGGCGCAGGGGAGUAAACUCCUGACCGUAAACUCUCAACAAGGUUUCUAAUCGAAAACUAUCAUUUAUACAACUAGUUUGGUGAAUUGUUUUAAGGCUAAAUCAAGUGUUUGGGUGACAUUUUCCCCUUUUAUAGGGGUUUACGGCCCUGGGACCAUAUCCCAUGGAGAUUACGGAAGUAAACUCCUUUGGGGUAAGGUUUAUGGUGUUUUCAAGCCUCAUGCACAAGUGGUAUAAGUUCUAGGCUUUUAUUCCAAACAUAUGAAGACUCUUGACACACUUUGGUGCCCCUUUAAUGAGUUUAUGGCCCAUGAACCAUGUCAUGGCCGUAAACUCACUUUGUAAGGUGAUUUUAUUGUGUUUAAGGCCCUUGAUUUAAUGGGAACAAGUCUAGAUAAAAGUCUAAGGCCUUAGGUGCCUUAAAAGCACCAUUUUGAGCAUGAACUUUGGAGUUUACGGCCUAAGAUGCUCCUGGGCCGUGAACUCCCAAACUUGGGUGAUCCUUGCUUGAUUUCAUGUCCCUAAUACACUCCUAUACAAGUCCAAGGCAGUAAUAUAUCACGGGGGACAAUCUAGGCUUGGUUUCGGGUGUUUACCGCCCAAGAACACCUUGGGGAGUAAACUCCUAAAUCGAAUGAUUUAGCUAUGUAAUCUAUGUUAUGAACACAUUUAAAUCUUUCUAACACUACUAUAAAGAGUUACUCACAAUUUGGGAUAAAAACCCGAAGAUCCGUGAGAGAGAAUUUUGGCUUUUCUCUAAUUGGAAAUGUAACUAAUGAACUAUUUGGUUCAGUUUGCUAUAGAUAGUCUUGGGAUUUUCGGCAGAAAAUAUUUUUAUUCACGGAAUGAACUCUAAUAUCCUAGAGUAUUGGAAUAACAGUGUUUUACAAAACCCUAGUGCAUCCACUCUCUUAAUAUCUCCUUAAGUGUAAAUCCUGAAAACUGCCAAACUUAUUCUCGAAGUCUGGAGUUUCACUGUAACUGUUCUACUUCUAUUGGCAUCAAAUGGUUUUUACAGAAUGGAAAUUUCAGGUUGUCAUAGAGCUCCAGAGUUUAUUAUCAGCUCCUUUGAGUAUCUUCAGUCAUGUAGAUUCAUAAAAAUCAAGACUUGGACUUUUGAAUCAAACCAUGCAUGAGAUAUGAGCAUGUUGAGACAAGAGAGUGAGAGUUUUGGGUGUUUGUGACUUUAUCAGUCAUGCAAAGGCUUAAAGUCACAGACUUUAUGGAGUAAGAGCCUCUACGGAUUCCAGAUAUGUGAUAUGAGCUAAGGUCUUAACGGGUUAAGACCAAGAGAGUGAGAAAAGCCAUACUGGAUGUACGCUGAGCGUAAUCCUAGUACGCCCUCCGUAUUGGGUUGGUCUUGAAGGGUUUUGAGCAUUCUAACACUCCGAAGGUGUACAUGCAACCCUAGAAACAUUGGAUCUAUGUUUAACGAAGAUACAAGCAAAUUUUAUUUUGAAGGUUCUUAACCUAACUAGCAUGGCAAGGGGAACUUUGAAGCAUAAAAGCUAGUAGAAGAACAUACCUUUCUUGUUACUUGGAUUCCUUGAGAACCUUCUGAGCCUAGCACCUCAGGUUUGAUGCCUCAAAUGUUUCAUAGAACACCACAACUCUUGGAAUAACUUUGAGAGAAGUACACUAUCACUCAAAAAUUGCCUAGCCCUCUUGUUCUACACAUAGUGUGUCGAUUUGGCCAGCAUUGGGGUCCUUUUAUAGUUGUGUCAGAAGUAGGGUUACAACAUGUAAACCCUAAUUGGCAUGGCUUUCCAUAUUCCAUGAUCCAUGGGUUUAUAACCUCCAUGGACUAUCCAUGGAGCACCUUAUGGGUUUUAGCCUAAUUAAAUAAACCAUGGAUCAUUAUCCCACUAUAAAAGAAUGGAUGCUUUGCACAAUCAACCCAUAUAUUUAAUUAGUCUCUUUUUGAUCACUAAAAUUAAUUCUAAAUUAAUUAUUGAUCAAAACUAAUUAAAUGAAAUUAUUAAUAUAUUAGAACUUAUAAUAUAUUAAUAAACCAUAAGUGUCCUUUCUCUCGUUUAGUCUAUCCAAGUGUUACAAUGCAAUGCAACCCAAAAUGGACCAUUCUAACCAGGUCAAGUACAUUCCAAAAAUAGUUAUGAACUUAAACACCUAAUCCAAUAGUCUCCCACUUGGAUAAGUCUAAUAACUAUGACUGCAAGAAUGACUUCAGGAACCGAUCGUAGCUCUUUCAAGGUCUCGCGGAACUGAGAUGAUGAUGAUACGCCAUUUAAGAUAUGUGAUCAUAUAAUCCUAUAUUCUAGAUAUGAGUAGGAGAAAUACGUGGAACAAUGUCUUACUUAUUGUCCAAUAGUUUGUUUCCCGAUUUCCGAUUUGUUUGACAUAGAGCUGAAUCGAACACAUCAAUUUAGUUCUGACCGGGCCCGGUACAUAGGUCAACACAAAAUCAUCGAGGGGCCCAGAUUUCUCUUCUAAUCCAAGAAGGAACAAAUAAACUUCAACUCAUAUGCUUGUUCUAAUAUUUGUUGAAUCAUACACAAAGGCACGUUUUAUAACAUCGAGUUACCAAUACGUUUUCUUACAAUCAAUGUAUAACCAACUCAUAAUCAAUAACUCAUAUCUCUAGGUUUGAAGACUUAUAUGAUAUUAUCGUCUCAUUAUCACUCGAGAUAAAUUCCAUGAAGUGAUACAAGUGAGCAUUGGUUGAAUCCAAUACUCAAAACUUCUGAGCACACAUGAGUGUUGUAGCAACUCUUGCUAUGUCCAACACCUUAGACAUCUACAACCAACUUCAUGACAGUCUGGAUUCAUAUCUACUUCAAACAUAUGACUGACUAUGGAGAAUUUGAAUAAUAUGAUAUACCAUAACAUAAUUAUUCUGGAAGUCAAAACAUGCAAAAUGAAAUGAUAGUAAAUGAUUGACAUAAGAUAGCAACACUUUACUUAAACUAUCUAAUUUCUAAAACUAUCAUCAAAUGUCAAUUACAGUUUACAAAUUUCAAAGCUAUCUAAUUUCUAAAACUAAUAUCAUCCUUUAGCCCUAUGCGCCUCACAUGAUGAAGAGGCCUAACCCUACCCAGUCCCUUCGUGAGGGGAUUUGUUGGGUUCUCAUCUGAUGAAACCCUCUUUGCCACGAGGAGUCCUUCUUCUAUUCGAUGUCUCAUGAAAUGGUAUUUUCUAUCAAUGUGUUUGGAUCUUCCGUGAUCCCUUGGUUCCUUGGCUAAGGAAACUGCACUUUCACUAUCAUAGAAAAUCUCCAUAGGCUCCUUUAUAUCCAGUACAACUCUAAGGUCUCCAAUGAGGUUCUUUAGCCAUAUAGCCUCCUUUGCUGCCUCACUCCCACCGAGGGUAAGGAGCCAAUCCUUAGUCCUCUGCAGGUACUUGAGAAUGUUCUUUACCGUAGUCCAGUGAGCCUUGCCAGGAUUCCCCUGAUAUAUAGCAUACAUGAUCGAGCCUACAGUGGAAGGAUAUGGUACUCGACUCAUCACCGCUAUAUCAGCCUCUGUACUCGAGAUCUGAGUCUUACUCAAACUGGCGUUACUCAGGAUCAGUAAGUCUCCUUUCUUGGAAUUCUGCAUGUCGAACCUAUUCAACACCUUAUCAAAGUAGGUACUUUGACUAAGCCCAAUUAGUCUUUUACUCAUGUCUCUUAAAAUCCUUAACCCUAAGAUAUAGGCAGCUAACUAUACUCCCACCAGCCUUGACAUAUACACAAGAUUCAUCUUUGCUCCUCGAAAAGCCAAACUCUUUGACUUUCUCAUCGAAACAAAGAUUCCAUCUGCGAGGUGCUUGUUUCAAUCCAUAGAUGGAAUUCUCAAGCUUACACAAUCUAUUAGGGUACUCUGCGCUGACAAAAUCCUCUGGUUGACAUCCAUUAAUGAAAGCGGUUUUUGACAUCCAUUUUCCAUAUUUCAUAGUCAUGAAAUGCAGCAAUGGCUAGCAUAACCCUAAUUGACUUAAUCUUCACUACUGGUGAAAAGAUCUCAUAAUAGUCAAUUCCCGGAGUUUGAGGAAAGCCCUUUGCAACCAGUCGUGCCUUAUAAGUGUGUACAUUACCAUCUAUGUCGGUCUUCUUCUUGAGGAUCCAUUUGCACCUGACUGUCUUACGAGCUGGUACAUUGUCAACCAAGUUCCAAACUUUAUUAGCAUACAUGGACUGUAUCUCGUUGUCCAUAGCCUCUUUCCAUUUAGCCGACUCAUGGCCUGCCAUAGCUUCCGAGUAGCUGUUAGGUUCAUCCAAACUUACCAGUGUGCUAUCACUGAUAAGUGUAUCACCUUCUGCAGUAAUAUGGAAACCAUAGUAAUGCUUAGGUGCAUUCCUAACUCUCGUGGAACGCCUCAGAGGUACAGACUCGUUUGUCAGAUCAACAGGAGUUUCCUCUUCAGGUUGAUUGCUAGGGUUUGAGGUUCCUUCACCAGUUGACUCUUGAAUUUCUUCAAGGUUAAUUUGCCUCCCACUAUUACCUUGGCUUAUGAACUCUCUCUCGCGAAAGACUCCUCUCCUUGCUACAAAGACCACAUUAUCACUGGGCCUGUAGAAGAGAUAACCAAAGUAUUUAUGUUGGUAGCCGAUGAAAAUACACCUCUCAAUUCGAGGUUCGAGCUUAUCAUGUGUCUUGCGCCUCACAAAAGCCUCGCAACCCCAAAUAUUGAUGUGGUCUAGAUUGGGAACUUUUCCAGUCCACGUCUCGUGAGGUGUUCUGGCAACCUUUUUGGUAGGGACUAGAUUAAGAAUAUGGGCGGUAGUCUAUAAGGUAUACCCCCAGAAUGAGAUUGGUAGCGAAGCUCAACUCAUCAUGGAACGAACCAUAUCCAACAAGGUUCAAUUAUGCCUCUCAACCACACCAUUAAGCUGUGGUGUCUUGGGAGGUGUCAGUUGUGAGACAAUCCCACAUUCCUUAAGAUAGUGAAGGAUCUCUGUACUAAGAUACUCAGCACCUCGAUCGAAUCGAAGCAUCUUAAUCUUCCUGCCUAACUGAUUCUGCACUUCCUGUUUACACUCCUCUAAUUUUUCAAAGGUUUCUGACUUAUGCUUGAUUAAGUAGACAUAUCCAUAACUACUAUAAUCAUCAGUAAAAGUCACAUAGAAGCGGUUAGCAUCCCUUGUGGAGGUUCUGAAGGGUCCACAUACAUCAGUAUGCAUGAGAUCCAACAAACCCUCACCCCUAGCACAAGAAGUAGUGAAGCUGACUUUGUCAUUUUCCCAAGUAAACAAGAUUCACAACUAUCAUCCGACUUUAAACCCUUUGGAGUUGGCCUAUGCGUUUCUUGCUUACAUGUCCAAGACGACAAUGCCAUAAUGAUGCUUUAUCCAAGUUAGUGGAAGAAUCGAUACACAACCCAUUAUUUCCUAGGUUAUCAACAACCGACAUAGUUUCAUACACACCAUCACAAGGUAAUGCUUUAAAAUAAAGAACAUUGUUAAAGAAAGCAUUAAUACCACCACACUCAUAAUCAAAUGAAAAGCUAAACCCUUGUUCGUUAAAACAUGAAAGGAAAUAACAUUUCUCGCCAUUUCAGACGAGUAACAACCUUUGUUCAAAUCUAAUAUUAACCCACUCUUUGGCAACAAAGAAUAAACUCCAAUCUUGGUGACAGGUGACGCUAUCAUAUUCCCCAUGAUCAAGUUUAUCUUCCCAUGCUCCACAUUCUCACUUCUUCUUAGUCCCUACAAAUCAUUACAUAUGUGAAUACCACAAAUUGUAUCAAGGACCCAAAUAAUUAGAAUGGGGUGUGUUAUUAGACAAUAUAGUGUAAAUACCUGCAUGGUUGGUGAUACGUGCAUAUUUAGCCUUAUAUUUAGUAUAGAUUUUUGUCAAUUAUUAGCUAAUUAUUUGCAUAUUAUGGACAAAAGGUACUUAAUAAUGUUUAGAUUGUAUUUUCAGUCCCGAAGUCUUGCUCGGGAGCAAAAAUGAGGAAGGAGAAACAAUUAGAAGCUGGAGAAUGAAGAAAGAAGUACAAACCUGAAGAUACUCGGCGAGUCCAAGCAUCUACUCAACGAGUUUCCACAAAUGUUCGCGAAGCAAUACGAAUAGUCCUUGCCGUACACGGAUUUUACAAAGAAACUCGACGAGUUGUCCCUGUUUUGAGGAUCUUAUAAAUAGAAGUCAAAUUCCGAAUCCACUAUCUUUUCUGGCUUUUCUGGAGGAUACUUUGCGACUAAGGUGACCCUUGGAGACCUAAAGAAUGUGAGAAGAACCCUAAUCUCUCAUUCUUAGAAGAUUCAAGGCAACUUAGGUUUAAUUUUCCACUUUAUCUUUGAAUUGAACAAUGUUUGAGUUGAUUACUUUCAUUUUUUGCUUUUUGACUACUGUAAUCAUGAUCUAAAUUUACAAGUUUAUGUUUAGGGAAGACAAUUUUACUCCUAUGGAUUAAUUUUAUGGUUUUAUUAAAUGAUUAUUGGUGAUUUUGUUAAAUUAAGCUUGGUAAAGAUCCUUAUGCAUUAACCACAACUAUUCUCUGUUAAUAGGAAGGCAAUUUGGCUGCAUGAACAUCUCUUAAUUGUUUAGCUCAUAUGAUUUAUGUGAACACUUUGUUAUGUGCCUAGGAUUAGUGAAUAUGAAACUAGGAUUAAUUAGAGAAUGGGUAAAUUAGUGAACAUCUCUUCUUGUUGAUAAACCAACAACAAGAGGCUAAUUGAAUUAGUAAUUUGAUUAACCAAUUACAAGUCUUAUUUAAUCCGAAUAAUUGAACUAGGGAAUUAAUUAACUUAAACACUUGAUCAUUGCUUAAAUUAAUUGGUUUUCUAAGGAUUGGUAAUAGCGAAUGCGAAUCUAAUCACUUUAGUCGGUAACCAAUAACAAUUAAUCUAUUGCUUUGCCAUAAAAUUAAGCAUAGGAGUGAAUGAGUUGAACCUAAGCAAAAACCUUUUAUUAAAUUUGAUGAAUUUUACUUGGUUUUAGUUGAUUUGUUAAUUGCGUGUUAGUUAGUGUGUCCAAGUUUCUAGUCUUGUAAAACUAGAGAAAACCCUUUUAAUUUUACUACAUGUUGGUUAAAAUAAGUUAUUAGGUUCCGUUCCUCAAGUUCGACAUCCUACUUAUUCAACUAUACCACUAAAAGAUAGGUUCGCUACCUUUGUGUGUUUAAAUUAUAUUUUUAGAGUAGGAAUAAAACAAGUUGGUUUUACACACAUCAUGUUUUUGGCGUCGUUGUCGGCGAACGAUUCAAAAAUUAAUUCUAAUUUAUAGUUUUAUCGAUCCUUUGUUUGAGUUUAUCUUGCACAAAGUUAUUUUUCAGUAAUUUAGUAAUCAGGUUAAGUUUUAGUAUUUAUUUGUUCUUAUUUGUUUUUUAAUUUGUUUUUAGGCUUUUAGGCAGUGUACUCGCCGAGUGCAGUCGAACCUACUCGGCGACUUCAGUGCUGAUUUCCAGUUUCGCUUUUUGUUCUUUUUACGUGUUUUUCUUGCUUUGAUUGCAAAGUGUUUAUGACCAGAGGAGGCAAUACACCUUUAAAUCCACCACUUGAAGACGGGGAAGCUACUUUAAGGAAGAACAAAGGCAAAACCGUUGGAGAAUCUGCAUCUUCAAAGAACUCACCUUUGAAGAAUCUAAAAGUUGUCUUUAGUAAGAAAAAGGGGAACAAAGUAGGAGAAUCCAACUUCUCUUCAGUGGAGGACGAAGACCCGAAAAAGGAGGACACCGAGUACGAAACCGAAAGGGGAGAAUCUGAAACAAAGGAAGAAAGCGAAUUGGAAGGAGAAUUAGCUAAGCCCAUGGCUAACAUCGAUGAAGUCCCCAUGGGAGAAUGGAAGAAGAGGAUACGUAACAAUACCGGCCCAGGACUAAUGCAACCCGUGAUUCUCACGACAGCCACUUUCGAACUUAAAGGCCACAUACUCACCCAACUUAAAGAAAUUCUGUUGUAUGGAAAAGAUCACGAAGACGCGUACAAGCACCUAGAAGAGGUCAAUGACAUAGCUGAUUACGUUAAAUUUCCUAAUGUGGCCCGCGACACCGUUUUGCUUCAUAUGUUACCGGUCACGUUUAAAGGCGUUGCAAAAGACUGGCUAAAAUCACUCCCUCCAGGAUCCAUCACCACAUGGGCUAAAAUGAAAGAAGAGUUUGCUGAUCAAUUUUGCCCGCCAUCAAAGAUAUACAAGUUGAAGAAAGCUAUAGCUAAUUUUGGGCAACAAGUCGGAGAAUCACUUUAUGAGGUGUGGGAGAGGUACAAAGGCUUACUAAGGAAUUGCCCACAACAUGAUCUUAAUAGUCAGCAAGAAGUCUCCAUUUUUUAUGAUGGAGUAAACGUGACGACAAGGUAAUUACUUGACUCGCAAGGAGCGCUCACAAAGAAGGCACCCCCGGUGAUAAAACAACUAAUUGAGGAAUUCUCUAAGCAUUCUAGAGAAUACCACAACCCAAGAAAUGAUGUGACAAAGGGAUCAACUUAUGCAGCUUCAGAAGAUUUUUCGGAAGUUAUGGCAAUGUUGAAAAGCAUGGAUAGAAGGAUGGAUAAAAUGGAUCAAACAAUCCAUGCUAUUUGGGUAGGAUGUGAGAAUUGCAAUGGGCCUUAUCUUACUAGAGAUUGUGAUUUGGACGAUAACCGGAAAAAGAAAGCGCAAGUAUGUUAUUCUAGUGGUGAUAGAUUUCAUGAAGAUUGGCGAAAACCUAAGAAAGAAUGGCUUCCUUAUGAUGAGUACAAGAAGGCGAAGGAGGAGAAGUAUAGACAAAAGGCAAGGGGUUUUUACCAAAAGGAGGAGCCGGUACAAGAAAAGAAACCAAAUUUAGAAGAAAUGCUCACUAAAUUUGUAGUUGCAUCCGAGAAAAGACACAAUGACCACGAUGCUGCAAUACAAGAUACAAGAACAAUGUUAAGGAAUUAGAAAGCAUCUAUUCACAACAUUAAGAAGCAGCUGGGCCAACUUGCCCAACAAAUAAAUCAAAGAGCAUCGGGAGAACUUCCUAGUAAUACAAAAAACAAUCCAUGAGGCGCACAUAUAAAUAUUGUAACAAUUAGGAGUGGGAAGAUAAUUACUCCUCUGACACUACUCGCCGAGUCCAGGAUAUGGACUCGACGAGUCCGACACCUGAUCAGAAAAUUAAGUCUCCUGUUAAGUCAUAUCAGCCUCCACUACCAUAUCCAGCCUGAGCUAGACAAGAAAAGAAUGAAGAAGAAUACCGGAAGUUUCUAUAACACAUAAAGGCUCUUCAAAUCAAUAUACCAUUCAUAGAAGUGGUUGCAUAAAUGCCAAAAUACGCCAAAUUUCUCAAGGAGCUUCUAACUAAUAGAAAGAUGAUCAAAGAAGUGAAGAAAGUGGUUCUAAAUGAAAGUUGUUCAGCUGCCAUGUUGAACAAACUACCAAAGAAGAAGCGUGAUCUGGGAAGCUUAACCUUACCUUGUCAAAUCGGAAAUGUAGCUACCAUCUAUGCAUUCACUGAUUCAGGGGCGAGUGUAAAUCUCAUGACAUACUCAUUUUUCAAGAAAUUAGACCUCCCGGAGCCAAGGCCAAUUCGAAUGGCAAUUCACCUAGAAAAUAAAACGGUUACAUUCCCAAGGGGAAUAUGCGAAGAUCUACUGGUGAAGGUUGAUAAGUUCGUAUUUCCCGCGGACUUUAUAGUUUUACACAUGGAAGCGGAUCCUCAAGUCGCAAUCAUUCUUGGAAGACCUUUCCUUAACGUCGUAAGCGCUAUAGUUGACAUGAGAGUUCCAAACUUACUCUACGGGUAGCGUAUGGAUCAGUCAGUUUUGGGGUCUAUCAAGCCAUGAAGCACGCAAGGAAUUGUGAUGACACAACAUUUUCGAUCGAUAUGUUGGAAGAAUUAAUGGAGGAAUGGAAUAAUGAAGAACCAAACAAGUCCACCAUCACCUUUUAUGAAGAAUUCGAUGUUGAAAGAGACCAACUGGAAAUAGAGAGACUGCUUGAGGAAGCUGAUUAUAAUGGGCUGACCAGAAGUAUUGAACAGUGUACUCGUCGAUUAAACUCGACCAACUCGACGAGUCCAUCCAAGGAAUCCCAAUCAGUCGUGAAAUUUGCCCAGGACUUGACGAGUCCCCUCAUUGGACUCGACGUGUGCAACAUCCAGAACACGAAAACUAAGCUAAAAGCACUACCAGAUCACUUGGAGUAUGCAUUUCUUGAAGACGGUCAAGAAAAAACUGUAAUUAUAACUGUUGAUUUGGCCAAACAUGAGAAAAAAAGUCUUGUGGGGGUACUAAAGAAGAGGCAAGGUGCUAUAGCAUUGAAGAUAACCGACAUCAAGGGAAUUAGUCCAACUUAUUGCUCUCAUAAAAUUAACUUAGAAGAUGGGGCUAAACAUGUUGUUCAACGCCAAAGAAGACUAAACCCGUACAUGCAAGAAGUUGUGAAAAAGGAGGUAGUGAAACUAUUAGAUGCCGAGAUUAUUUACUCAAUUUCCGAUAGCCCGUGGGUGAGUCCGGUGCAGGUGGUACCGAAGAAAAGAGGAAUAACGGUGGUAGCAAAUGAAAAUAACGAAUUAAUUCCAAUAAGAACGGCUACCGGGUGGUGUGUUUGCAUCGACUAUAGGAAAGUAAAUGAUUCCACAUCUAAGGAUCAUUUUCCAUUGCCAUUUAUUGAUCAAAUGCUCGAGAGGCUGUCCAGGCAUCUAUAUUAUUGCUUUCUCGAUGGUUUUUCGGGGUAUUUUCAAAUUCCAAUCGACCCAUUCCUUUUGGGUUAUGCAAUGCACUGACUACUUUCCAAAGGUGUAUGAUGGCCAUUUUCCAUGAUAUGAUCAAGAAGCUUAUAGAGGUUUUCAUGGAUGAAUUUUCGGUUUUCGGGUCCUCUUUUGAAGAUUGUUUGUCCAAAUUGGAUCUAAUGUUAGCAAGAUGUGAGAAGAGCAACCUUGUCCUUAAUUGGGAGAAGUGUCAUUUAUGGUGAAAGAAGGAAUUGUGCUUGGACACAAGGUCUCGAGGAUGGGGAUAUAGGUGGAUAGAGCAAAGGUGGACACUAUUGCCAAAUUACCACCUCCAACAAAUGUCAAGGGGGUAAGGAGAUUUUUAGGCCAUUAAGGGUUUUAUAGGUGCUUUAUUAAAGACUUUUCGAAGAUCACAAGGCCCUUGACUCAACUUCUUUUGAAGGACGCCCCAUUCAACUUUUCUAAAGAAUGUAUUGAUGCAUUUCAUUUGUCGAAGGAAAAGUUGACUACUACACCUAUUAUGGUAGCUCCAAAUUGGAGUCUUCCUUUUGAGCUUAUGUGUGAUGCCAGUGACUAUGCGGUGGGAGCUGUUUGAAGACAAAGAAUUGACAAGCAUUUUCAGCCGAUCUACUAUGCAAGUAAUACCCUGAACCCAACACAAGAGAACUACACUACUAUAGAAAAGGAGCUACUAGUAGUGGUUUUUGCAUUUGAUAAAUUUCACUCAUAUUUGGUUUUGUCAAAAACCAUAGUUUUUACCGACCAUUCUACCCUUUAGUAUCUUUUUGCUAAACAAGAUGUUAAGCUAAGGUUGAUUUGUUGGGUGCUGCUGCUACAAGAAUUUGACAUUGAAAUACGAGAUAAGAAGGGGAUGGAAAACAUGGCUACCUAUCAUCUAUCGAGAUUGGAAAACCCACACUUGGAAGAGUUAGAAAAAAACAAGAUUGGAGAUGAAUUUCCUAAAGAAUAUUUAUUAGUUAUAGUAGGAGAGAUUCCAUGGUUUGUGGAUAUAGCUAACUACUUAGCUAGUGAAUACAUCGCACAAGACUUGACCCGCCAACAAAAGAAGAAGUUCUUUUCAGAAAUUAAGUAUUACUUCUGGGAUGAGCCAUACCUCUUUCGUAGUUGUGCUGAUGGUAUGAUAAGAAGAUGUGUAUCCGGGAAAGAAAGUCAUGAAAUCUUGAAGCAUUGUCAUAGCGGGCCCACCGGAGGACAUCAUGGAGCGCAAUAUACAACCAAGAAAGUUUUUGAUUCGGGUUUUUAUUGGCCUACUAUCUUUAAAGUUGCUACAAAUUUGUCAAAUAAUGUGAUUCAUGCCAAAGAUCGGGAAACACUUCAUCACGAAACGAGAUGCCCCAAAAUAGCAUUCAAGUUUGCGAAAUAUUUGAUGUUUGGGGAAUUGACUUCAUGGGACCUUUCCCAAUGUCAAAGGGAAAUAAAUACAUUUUGGUAGCAGUCGAUUAUGUAUCCAAAUGUGCGGGGGCACAAGCAUUACCCACGAAUGACGCAUGAGUAGCGGUACGUUUUUUCAAGAAAUUAUUUUCAAAGUUUGGAGUUCCAAAGGCUUUAAUUAGUGAUCGACGCACCCACUUCGCCAAUGAUCAAUCAGCUAAGGUGUUGCUAAAAUAUGGUGUCCACCACAUAUUUUCAACAUCCUAUCAUCCUCAAACGAGUGGGCAAACUGAAGUUACAAAUAGGGCACCGAAGAGAAUAUUAGAAAGAUCGGUUGGAAGUAAUAGAAAGGAGUGGUUGGAUAAGCUUGAUGAUGAACUUUGGGCGUUUAGAACAACUUUCAAAACACCUAUUGGUACUACACCAUAUAGGUUGGUAUAUGGGAAGAUUUGCCACUUGCCAGUUGAGAUUGAGCAUAAAGCAUUUUGGGCUUUAAGAAUGUGUAAUUUUGAUUUGGCUGAACAUAGACACAACCGAUUGAUGCAAAUGAAUGCCCUUGAAGAACUAAGGAAUGAGGCAUACACUAGUUCCUAGAUCUACAAAGAAAAGACUAAGAACUGGCAUGAAAAAAGACUCAAGGGUAAUAAGCACUUUCAUGAAGGAAAAAAGUGUUACUUUUUAAUUCAAGGCUCAAACUUUUUCCGGGCAAGCUAAAGACACGAUGGGAUGGUCCAUUUAUAUUGAAGAAAUUUUUUCCACAUGGAGCUAUUGAGCUAAUAUCAAUAGAUGGAAUUCCAUCAAGGUCAAUGGUCAUAGGGUGAAAAGAUAUGAAGAAGGAAUUUCGAGAAAUGAAGAAUUUGAAGAAGGGCUACUGCUGGAAGAGAUUACAGAAACGUAAGCGGGAAGGAGUCCAUCUAAUGACUCCUUAAAAAGAAGCGCUUCCGGUAGGCAACCUAAGUUUAGAGUUUGCAUUCUUUUCCUUUGCUUUUUAUUUUCAUUUAUUUUUUUUUUUACUUUUAGGAUCUAUUUUUAUCAAUCUUCUUCUGAAAUUAUGCUUAAAAUGAUUGCUUGAGGGCAAGAAAUGCUCAAGUGUGGGGUCGUGCUUAAAAAUCGAAUUUUAGUUAAACUGAUUAAGCAACUCGUCGAGUCUUUCACUCCUGCUCGGCGAGUCCUUUCUGAAAUUCACGCAAAGUUGCAGAUUCGCGCUUCUACUCGGCGAGUAGUCACUCCUACUCGGCGAGUCCAGAAAUUUAACUGAAUUUUUUUUUUUUUUUUACAAACUGUUAAUAGGGUUCUGUUUUACCCUAAUCACUUUCAUUCAGCCGCCUCCCAACCCACACUUGCCGAGUAAAGUUCUCUCAAGCAACUUCUUCAAUUUUCGCUAGUUCUUCCUCUUACAAGCAAAAAGGUAACAUUUUUCUACUUUAUUCUUAAUAAAGGUCAUAACUUGGACAGCUUGUAGUAGGUAUUUUGCAAAAAAUUGGAUUUGGGGGUUUACUCCAAAUCUAGGAUUUUGAUUUUAGGACAAAUUAGGAGGUUUUGGACAAAAUUUCCUGUGAAUUUAUGCUUAAUAGCCUUAGAAUAGAAAACCCCUAUACAAAUUACUGUUAUUGGAUGGAUUAAUCUGGACCGACUGGAAAAUGAACUCGCAGUUCAUACUACUCGCGGAGUAGUUCAUGAACUCGGCGAGUACAUCUCACAGUGGACCUGUUUUGCUUAUGUUUAAUAUGUUAUGGGUUUGGUUUCUUGUUUUCUUGAUUUUGUUUUGAUGGAAUUAUGUCUAGACGUGGCCAGAGCUCUAGAGGAGGUGGAUAUGGACACAUUCCAUGGCUUAACUUCAAGUAAAUUACCUCAAAAUCUUCACAAGUCCAUGCAAAACGCAAUCUUGAAACACUGAAACAGAAGGAGAUAUACGUUCGCAAUGCAAUUAAUAUGGAAUGGAUGAGUCAGACGGAGCUGGAGGAGGAACUAACCCUUUACUUGGUAAAUUCCUGUGUAAAUAGGAGAAUAACAAUCAUUUGUGAUGGGUGGAUUCGGCUAUUCAAGAUGCAAGAACCCGUGUUCGAAGAGCUAUGCUGGGAGUUCUUCGCUACCAUCUCAUUAUGGGGUGGUAGUGAUUACUAUAGCCCGAAUAUUAGAAGUUAUUGCCUUGGAGGAGAGCUGCAUCAAUGCAACAUAUCGGAGCUUGCGUGGAGGAUUGGGAUUUUUGAUCAAAACGUGAUCAUGUCAGAGGAUUUCGAGGCAUUUUUGGAGCAAUGCCAUAAGGAUUUACCUGAAGGAGUUUUUCCCUGUACUUGGUGGAAUAUGAUCGCCAACCGGGUCUAUAUUCCAUCUUCCGUCCAAGAAGGCUUUAUCCGUUCACCCAUCCAUCGUCUUAUCCACCGUCUCAUUGCUAGCACCAUCAACAUGAGGAAGGAUGAUGACAAAGUUCCCACUCUCGACAUUUUCUAUUUGUGGAGUAUUAUCACACCGGACAUUUUUUGCAACUUGCCUUAUUGUAUAGCAAAGUACCUUGCGGAAGGAGCAGUCAUGGAAAAAAUUACCUCGAAAAUUACUGGGGGUAUGUUUAUUACGAGAUGGACAAGGUCUUCUAGGAUUUUGGAUAGGCAAGAAGCAAGGGCAUUAACAAUGAUUUCUCCCCCUCCGUUUAGCAUUACAUUAUUUAGGAGGGCGAGGAUUAUUGAGAAGUUUGUUGAGGAUACAUUUGGGAUCCCAAAGGAGGGAUCGACACCAAGAAGACCCACAGGUCAUUCCGGUGGAAGAGGAAAACACAUAAUGGGAUAAUGUGGAAUUAAGGAGGCAUUUGGAUGACAUUAGUCGGGGCAUUAACUACAGUAAUGAAUCAUUUGUUUAUCUAUUUGAACAAAUGAAUGUUGCACCGAGGCCCGGGCCCGGAUUCCCAUAUGUGAUGAGUUGGGAGGAGCGUCUGCUGAAGAGGAACAAUCAAGCAAGUGGGAGUGGAGCUAGAGGAGAUGAUAUUGAAGAAGAUUGAAAGUUUAUGUUUUUAAUUUGGAUGUUAUUUUUACUUUGUUGGUUUGGUGUUUUGAACUUUUAUGUACUAAGAUUUAAUUAGGAGUGUGCUUGUUUUCUUUUACUUGUGGUUGGCUUGUAUCUUUUCAGGUUUGAAGAUUAGGAUGCAAUAUAAGAGUCUCAUUCGUCAAGGUUAGAGUGAGGGUCAGGUCUAGAUAAGAGUAUGCAAUUUCAAGUUUAAGAUCGAGUCCGUUAGGAAUAAUGGUGACAAAAUGUGUUAUUUAUUGAAGAAAUCAAAGAAGUGUCACAUAAUUGACAUAUUCCAACAGAUUAGCAAUGGAUCAGAAGCAUAACAUUAUUUUUUCCACCCAGCGCUCUACUCGCCGAGUGCACGUAUUGGACUCGACGAUUCCAUUUGCAAUAUCACGAUUUUCUGAUUAGAAUCAAAUUACUCUCCGAGUUUCCGUUCUACUUGACGAGUCACUCAAGAUUCAGGUUUUAGUCAUAUUAUCAUGAAGAUUCAUUCAGGGAGAUUUCUAAGAGCUUUUUCCUUAGUAAUUGGAGUUAUUUAGAUGUUUUACCACACGAGACAUGACACCAAAGGCAUGGAUAAGUGUUCCUAUGUCUAAAGUCAUUUGAAGAUAGACCUACAUUGAAUAUGAUCAGCCUCGCCACUGCUAUCCCAGGGGAGUUUGUUCCAAUUCCCUCUUUAUUUUUGCAUGUUUCUUUUAAUGCAUAACAUGCAAUGGGGACAUCGCAUGAAUUAAGUGUGGGUAAGGGUUGGUUAUAUUAGUAAAUUUAGAAUCCUAAAUUAGGCUUAAUUUUAAAAAAAAAUUGCAGUAAUAUUGCUAGGAUCUUAAUUUAGAAAAUUUUGGUAAAAGCAAUCAGGAUUCCAUGUUAGUGUUAUGUUUGAUGAUUACAUGAAGACCUAAAUGUUUAGUUGAGCCUAUAUAAGUUCUAGUGCAUUUGUGGCCUCCCUAUUCUAGUGAAAACAUGGGACAAAAACACGACCUCGCUUAGUUUGAGGAUCACAAUAAGUUUAGCAUCGUGUACCAGAAAUGUAUCAAGGAAAUUUUUGUUUUAUCUUUAACCAAUAAAGGUUGAAGUUGAGCGCCCCUCCUUAAGCAUGUAGAUUUUGAGUGAUAAAAAGUUAGGUACAUGUAUUAAAAAAGAGAAAAAAUUACAAGAAAAGUUGAAAAAAAUUGGAGCUUUUAAAGUGAAGAUCAAAAGAUCAAAAUUCCAAAAAUUCAAAAAGUUGAAGAUACCCAAAAUCAAAGAAAAUCAAAAAGUUGGCAAAUUUGAAGAAUUCAAAGAAAUCAAAGUUCAAGUUAUCAAGAAAGUGAGGAAUUCCAAAAAGUUCCAUAGUGGUAUCGAAAAUUGUAAUUGUCUAGAUUAUGUAUGCUUUGGUUGCUCAACCAAAUAUACCUUGAGGUUAAGGGAGUUUUCUGAGGAUGGAUUUCGAGGGAUGCAUAAAAUGAGUAUUGUUCGAAAGAAGUGGGAAAGUAUUUAUGAGGAUUGUGAGUAUUUAAGAUGAGGGGGGGUCAUUUAGGAAAAAUUUAGACACAAAUGCAUGCGUUGUGGUCUUGGCAUAAUGGCUGGGUUUGAUUGGGAUUGUCUCAUGUGAUUCUAGUGUGCUAAAAUUCAGUUUUUGCUUGGGGGCAAGCAAAAGUCAAGUGUGGGGUAUUUUGAUAUGUACAUAUUUAGCCUUAUAUUUGUUGGAUAAGGUGUCUAAGUCCAUAACUAUUCCGGGCUUGUACNNNNNNNNNNNNNNNNNNNNNNNNNNNNNNNNNNNNNNNNNNNNNNNNNNNNNNNNNNNNNNNNNNNNNNNNNNNNNNNNNNNNNNNNNNNNNNNNNNNNCAUGUAUAAAAAUCUUUCACCCAGCAUAGACAGCAAGUACUCAGAUAAUAUGCACACACAACAUGUAAUUUAUAUUAAAAUACUUCAUGUCUAUGUGUAAGAUGAAAGGGACUAUGCACUCACCUGAGAAGGUGGUGACUCGGUACUCGGACAGCGCUUCGUUUACUUUAAAAUAAUUUCCUUCGACGAAACCUAGUAUUAUUACCACUAGAUUUUAGUCUAAUAUUUACCGUGACUAAUUAUUAGUCUUAUUAUUAUUAUNCGGACAGCGCUUCGUUUACUUUAAAAUAAUUUCCUUCGACGAAACCUAGUAUUAUUACCACUAGAUUUUAGUCUAAUAUUUACCGUGACUAAUUAUUAGUCUUAUUAUUAUUAUUAUAUAAGCGUUUAAACAAUACUUUCCAACCACUAUGUACAGACAGGGGCCAGACAUAAAACACCGGAGGGCAGGACCAUUUUGGCAUAUAGCACUUCUGAAAUCCAACAACCCUAUGCGGCCCUUUAAACCAGAUUCCCCGUACCGCGAGUAGUUAAAAAGAUAUUAUAACGACACUUAUAUAAGUCAUAAUAAUAGCUCAAAUAUUUAUUAUAAAUUUAUAAUAACAAUACUAAUUUUAAAUAUAAACUAUAUUUAAAAUAGGGUAAGCAUAACUUACUUACAAGGGGAUUUUAGCUAGGAGUCGGGCUUUGUAGGGGCAGAACUUCGUCGCUGAAUCUUUCUAAGAAAGAUUCGUGCAGCGCUUCAGCGCUCACCUUACUAUACUAAAACUACAGAAAGAGAAGUCGAAUCACGAGGGACCGAAAUGCUCGGGGGAUAAGGAGAGAAAGACUCUUGAAUCAAGAGAAUGGUGCAAGAAAUAUGAGAGCCCAAGCCUCUUAUUUAUAGUAAUUGAAUUUACAAAAACUACCCUCCAUAAUUACUUAAUGACCUUAUAGUUAUAUAAACAACUAAACACCCCUUUAUAAUACUAUUUUAAAUAGAUUUAACAAUUUUGCACUAAACUAAUGUCGAAAGAACUCAACAUUAUUCUUAUAAUGACCACAUCGUCGAUACCUUUCUAAUGAUAUAUACAUAUGUAUAUAUAUUUGUACGUAUAUAUGAUUUAUACUUUAUUUUAAUACGUAAAUAUGCUAUUAUAUUUUAUAACUAUUUCAUACGAAUUCCGUUUUUGACGUUCUUUAUAUCCACGCGUAGGCGGGAACGUACCCUACAACUUUUGUUUAGAACCCGUCGGCUAAUUUUGAAUUUAUUUUUAAAGUUAUAUUUUUAACAAGCCGGGACAGGAUUGGUCCGUUAAAAUCUCAUAACUUCUUCAUCCGAUGUCCAUUUUUGUCUGUCUUUUUAUCGUUAUGCUACUAAUAACGAGAUCUUCGAUUCUCGUUUAGGUCGUGUCGGCUAAAAACCGCUCGAUCUAAUAUUCGAAUUUUGGGCUGUGCACUGCUAAUCCGAAACUUCGAAAAAUCAUAACUUUUUCAUACGAAGUCAGAUUUGGGCGUUACUUUUAUCGAAGUUCUUAGUUUAACAUAUUCUACGACUUUCGUUUAGAGCGCCAAGGCUAAAUCACGCUCUAUCUUAAAUUCACUAUUUUCGCCUCCGGGUAUCGAGCCGGUUCCGUCGCGAAACUUUGACGGGUCAUAACUUCUUCGUUAUAACUUGGAUUUCGGCGUUAUUUAUAUGUACGGAAACCUAGUGACAUAUACUACAACUUGGUUCAAAUUAUUUAUAAGCUUCUUUCGAAAAGUCACUUUCGACACUUAUUGCCUCUAAUUUAACUAGCCCGGAUCUGCGGGCGUUAAACCUUAAGUGUAAAUCCUGAAAACUGCCAAACUUAUACUCGAAGUCUGGAUUUUCACUGUAACUGUUCUGCUUCUAUUGGCUUCAAAUGGUUUUUACAGAAUGGAAAUUUCGGGUUGUCACAUCAUCCCCCUGUUAAAGGGAAUUUCGUCCCGAAAUUAGAACUUAGAUAAGGAAGUAAGUAUGAAUGAUCGAGUCGUGAGGAGGAAACUUCUUAAUCGAUUGGUUCUAGCGCACCUAAGUGAAAUCGGGUUCUCGGUUGGCAUCCCAACGAACCUUCACUAACGGGCGAUGGCGUUGUUUCGUCCUCUUGACCUCUCGGCCGAGGGUCACUACGAUUCUAAUACGAAGGCGAGGAUCUCGACAAGUGGACUUACUAGAGUCCUAACGGAAAGGUAUGGUUUCACGAUCGAGACGCGAAGAGUAGAAUGUACGUUACUGAGUUCAUGGAGUAGGUCUAUUUUGCGAGAUACAUGACUGAUUCUGGUAAGAAUCUCGGAGGUCCUGUCUAUCUUGGAUUUAGACUUCCUAAGGAACUUGGUCACUCACUUGGAAUUCCAAUGGUUUCUUUUUCUUGUUUAACUUCCCAGACAAAGGUCACCCCUUGUUGGGUCAAAGUCGUACGGUUUACUGUGAUUUGUGAGGGUUUCUGGAUGAACUAUGACAGUAGGUCUGUAAGACCUAGAAUUUGGCGAAUGACUGUUGGCGUCUCCGGUGUCGAAAAAUGCUCACCGGUUUUGACAAAUUGAAAAAGUACUCAAAGUUUCCCACGUUACUAGCAGUGUGUCAUAGAAAUUCGACUCUUCAAUUUCAAAACUCGUGCCUAGGGAACUUCGCGAAAAGUUCCUCUAAAGGUAAUGUUUCCAUGGGUUUUCUUCUUACUACGAGGGUAGAUAAGUAAGUCAUUACAUGGAGAAUUGACGAACCGAUCCAAGUAAGAAAGACGUACCCUAGUCAUAUAGUUCAUGAAAACUAUGGGCGUAUUGGUCCUAUCCGAAGGGUAUAACUUAUAUGUUGUUCUAUAUCUCCAUGAAUCUAGGAACUUUUGCUUGCAUUGUCUUAUUUGGUCUACGUACCGGAACUGAGAACAUUCGAGAUUAUGCAGGAUUAUACACGAAAGAUCCUUUUUUGGCUCUCUCUUUAGCCCUAUGUCUCUUAUCCCUAGGAGGUCUUCCUCCACUAGCAGGUUUUUUCGGAAAACUCUAUUUAUUCUGGUGUGGAUGGCAGGCAGGCCUAUAUUUCUUGGUUUUAAUAGGACUCCUUACAAGCGUUGUUUCUAUCUACUAUUAUCUAAAAAUAAUCAAGUUAUUAAUGACUGGACGAAACCAAGAAAUAACCCCUCACGUGCGAAAUUAUAGAAGAUCCCCUUUAAGAUCAAACAAUUCCAUCGAAUUGAGUAUGAUUGUAUGUGUGAUAGCAUCUACUAUACCAGGUCUCGAAGUGUCCGUAUCGAGUUCGGAAGAUAGUCUUACGGACAUCCUUCACUAACACUCGAACUGGUGAUAUUCAGAUCUCAAAUCCAUUUCUGAAAGUAAUUCUUUCCUUGCGUUUGCUCAACCAUUUCAUCUAUGCGAGGCAGAGAUAACGAUUUCUAAUGAAAAAUAUUGACGGAGUCCUCGAUAUCCGAGGUACAUAUUAUGUAAUCCGUCAAUCUAUGGGAGAAUAAGGCUGGGGUUCUCCAAGGUGAGAAGCAUAGUCAUGAAAUUCUAUUUCUAUGUAGUUCGCUAAGUUGUCUGGGCUGUUUUGGUAUCUUCGUAGGUGUUUAGACUAUAGGGUGAUCUGUUUACAAGAGUCGUAUUGGGUCCUAUGUUUGUUCACAUGACGAUGUGAUUACUCGUAGGCUUAAGCAGUUCUCCGUCCUGAAGUUCAUAUUAGAAUUCAUACAUGGUUCACAAUCACAAUUUCGUGUAUACGAGUCAUAUAUAAUUAAGAUUGAAAAGGUAGUCGAAUAACUGAUUCUUCUUUAAGCUCACAUCCCAUCGGGGAAAAAGAAGUUAAAGUGGAAUCAUGAAUUCUAAACCUGUAGAACCUUGAUUAUAUAUCUCUCUUAUGUAUACAUUCCUCAGUGAUAGAUCAAUCGCAUGAAUCCUUGGAUUGAACUUGACGUACUGCAUGAGGGGGACUUCGAGGAUUUCUUCGGAAAGAAAAUAACUAAGAGGUACUCCUGGCAUGAGUACUUCGGUGUUCUGAUAUGACGGCUUCGCUGGAAAAGUGAUCUAGAAGAAAGAGAUGUAUGUAUGAAGCUGUUUUCGUGAAGAACAAAUUGAAUCGAGUCGUAUGAUAAUGUCGGAAUCAUACUGAAACUUAAAGACAUUAGAUUUGAACAUAAGACGUUUACAGACAAAACACAACCGUGCAACCAUGAACAGAGUUACAGUACUUUAGAUUUACCACAAGACUAUUGCUGCGAAUAAGAUAUACUACAAAAGACAAGUAUACGCAGCACGAGAAUCCCUAUACAGACAAGAUCUCGCAAAAGGUAAGACUCUAGUUGCACUAGUUCUGGAUAGUUUAUAAGUCUGUUACAACAACACGCCUAAGUUACAUUAACGAGGGUUCCGGAGUAGGCUCUCCUACAGCUGUGAUCCUGAGAAUCCUCCCAUCUACGCUAGAGUUCUUUGCUAUUGGGCAAUCCUUCUUGACGUGCUCUAUCUCACCGCAUUGGUGGCAUGACUGGCUAGUACUUGCAUUGGUGAUGGGAUUGCGGUGUUUAGCCAGUGUUAUGUGGACACGAGUGCCUUCCUCGUUACUCCACUUUGAAAAUUGCUUCCUAAAGCGUUCGGUCGGAGUUGCCACUGGUGGCUGUGGCAUGGCAAGACUUUGGGCUCUCUUGCGCUCCCUUAAGGAUUUACGAUAUCGUCUUUUCCUUUCGGUCUUUAGGCUUCGCAAGUCCAUGACUGUUGCCAUUUGUUGGUUUCCCAAUUUGGUACUACCAUCGGAACUCCCAACUCCUUUUUUAGUCUUAUUUGUGUUGCCUGAGUUGAUGUGUGUAAGGAAAGUUGUCACAGCAGCUGCUACUGCAGCUUGUAAUGUAGCGGUGUCGAUAUGGAGGAUAGGGUUUUUGUUGCUCGGCUGUUUAUUUCCUGAUGACGACAUGAUUCUGUAACACGAAAGAUAAAGAUUUUGUGAGCGAUUUUGGUUGACCCUAGAUGUACUUCCAUUGCACAAGAAAAGAGUAAGAGUAUGUUCUCGAAAGGUUGACCUACAUCCCUAUGAUGCAGUCCUAGUACGGAUUGGAGGUAUGAUCACGAAGGUUUCACCUACAUCACUAUGAUGCAGUCCUAGUAAUGAGUAGAAGUAAGUUCGUAGAAUGGUCUCAAGACGUUUGUCGUUCAAGCCGAGGUAUCGUGGGUUGGUGAAUAACAAGAUCCAACCACUGAAAGACACUUGGAAAUGUCUCCGGAGCUAAAUUACUAUAGUCCAAUGCCUUGACUAAAGCAGGCUUCAGCUAGACUCCAAUAAAUGUAUGAUAAGAGUACUUGAAUAAAGAAUGACACGGAAGUUAGUCGACUAUCAAUAUCUUUGAUAUUCACGACGUAAAGAUUCAGGAAAAUGACCUUGUAAAGGUCUUACAUCAUAUCCAAAGAAGAUAGUUCUUGACAGCAUAAGGACCUAACCCAAAGUACUUACAGUAUAAGGUAAUUUCAUAGAAAAUGCCACAUCGGCCAAAGACAAAAAAAACGAUUCCUUUUAAUAAGGAAAAUAAAGUAAGGCGUCUACUACUCGCGACGGUCAUCCCUCUGGUGAACUCUCAGUUCAGCCAGUUGACAUUCCACAUCAAGUAGGUGUCUUUCGUACACCCUCUGGCAUACUCGGAGCUCUAUGACUUCGGCUCGUGAUUCAGUCAGUGCUUGCAGCAGAGUUUCAUGGUUUCUCUCAGAUUUCUCGCGAGCCUCUUCUAGACAAAUGGUGCAGAUGGUAUGCAUUCUCGUAUCAACGACAUCUUCGGUAAUCUGAUGUAGGGCUUUCCUGCCUUGAAUCUCAUUUCGGGCCACUCUACGGACAAAGAUUGGCAAGACUCUAUCUGCUGAGCCUCCAUCGCUCAGGUCGUAAAAGAUUCGGUCACCAUUAAAUGGCAUGGGCUGAUCUUGUCCUUGGAUCCAUGUUUCCAAGCAUUCUACCCAAGGAGGCGUUGGGCAAUGAAAAGCCGGACGAGGGUUAGGAUUUGGAAAGGGAGCUGUAACACCGUAGNGGGGUAGGUUCUCAACCUCGGGUUCGGAUUUAGCAUCGUCUGAAGGGUCUUAAUCAUGGUGAUCAUCAGAAGGAUAGGAUGAUCAUUAUCUGGUUCUUCACCAAACCAACCAGCAAUGACCUCGUUCGGAAGCAACUGGUUGCCGUGGGGAUGGAGUCCAGCUAUGUUAUCUACGCGAGAAUUGGGGUAAGAAAAUAAUUAUUAGACGAACUAUCUAGAUAAUUAUUUAGAAAAUCUUCAUCAGUUACAUCGCUAUUUGUGAAGUGCAUACCAGUUAUAUGUAAUCGAAACAGGAUAGGCCUUCGAAUAUGUGACCUUAACUCCAAAUUCACACAGAAUCGGGGUAAGGUAAAAUUUCACAGAUUCUCAGUCUAUAACAUCCUAAUUACAUAUAUCCUUAGUGUAUCCACAUAGCAACUAUCAACUUAGUAAUGAAGAUCCCCUUUUAGUUCUCAAGUAUAAAGUACUUAUAGUAACACCAAAUACUCAUAUAGUAUUUUAAAUUUUAAUGUUAUGUUCUAUUGUUCUGAUUGUGGUAGGGUUGGUAAGAUUUUAGCAUUGUUGCAACCACACAAUUAAACUUAGGCACAUGCUAGUCAACUCUCGGAUAAUAUAGGUGAUCAGGCUAUAUCUUCCCAGUUUUGACCAUAUGUCUCUAAGCCCACUUGUGUUGCCCAACAAUCGUAAUUCUUUUGUACUGUCCUAGUGACACUGAUUUUAGUAUGAAUGCAGGACGUAUACUUACUUAAAUAUUUUACUAUUUAAAGUAUAAACUCUUGGUCAGAGUAUUUUUAAUCCCUUAUGUAUUUAUAGUUAGUAUAUCUUUUAUGGGUUGAUAUACUUAAUUCACUAUAAACAAUGCUCUGAUACCAAUCUGUCACACCCCAAAACCAAGAACGGCGGAAACGUUCUGGGGCGGAGGACGUCAUGUACAGUAUCACAACAAUGAAAAGUAGUAAACAAGCAACAACAUCAUCCAUUGCAUUAAUAAUAUAAUUAUUAUACAAGUGUUCUGUCAAAUUUUGAUAAACACUAAAGCAUAAAUCAAAAUGAAAGAUGAGUCUUCAACGGGCUCCAUCUUCCCUAUUCCUUGCAUCGGUACCUGUAUAUGAUGACCUGUGGAGACAAGUAAUUUUGAAAGCAAGUAUCAGCUUUGAAGCUGGUGAGAUCAUAAGUAUUUUAGUGUCUUAAUUUGUAUGUAAAAAUUUGUAAUUUUAAGAACUGUAAGUAUGGAAAAUGUAUAUGAAUUGUAAGUAUUGAAAAUGUAUAUGAACUGUAAAUGUAAAAAUGUUUGUAAAACAACUGUAAACGUUUGAAAAACCCUAGAAAUCCCUAUGAUUCCUACUAUUAUAUAAAGUGUGUCUUCUACCAAGACCUAACUGUUCUCAAUGUAGUCUUCUACCAAGACUUAACUGUUCUAAAUGUUCGUUUCUUGUAAAAGUGUGUAAUUUUCCCAAGUGUAACUAUCAUUNNNNNNNNNNNNNNNNNNNNNNNNNNNNNNNNNNNNNNNNNNNNNNNNNNNNNNNNNNNNNNNNNNNNNNNNNNNNNNNNNNNNNNNNNNNNNNNNNNNNNNNNNNNNNNNNNNNNNNNNNNNNNNNNNNNNNNNNNNNNNNNNNNNNNNNNNNNNNNNNNNNNNNNNNNNNNNNNNNNNNNNNNNNNNNNNNNNNNNNNNNNNNNNNNNNNNNNNNNNNNNNNNNNNNNNNNNNNNNNNNNNNNNNNNNNNNNNNNNNNNNNNNNNNNNNNNNNNNNNNNNNNNNNNNNNNNNNNNNNNNNNNNNNNNNNNNNNNNNNNNNNNNNNNNNNNNNNNNNNNNNNNNNNNNNNNNNNNNNNNNNNNNNNNNNNNNNNNNNNNNNUAUAUGUAAUGCCAUGAACUAUUCUAGCUGUAAUGUAUGUGCUCUCUACCUAGCAAGUNNNNNNNNNNNNNNNNNNNNNNNNNNNNNNNNNNNNNNNNNNNNNNNNNNNNNNNNNNNNNNNNNNNNNNNNNNNNNNNNNNNNNNNNNNNNNNNNNNNNACACACAUAUAUAUAUAUAUAUAUAUAUAUAUAUAUAUGAUAUUUCCCUAGUCAAAAUCUCUAGUACACAAGCCUAAACAUCCAGGCCCAACCCUUAAGGCCCAGUAAAAGAUUUAGCCCAAAAAGCCCACAACGAGGUUACGCGGGGCCUGCGUCCCUUCGGACACUCAGUGUACACAAGCAUGCACAAAUCCUGAUUGGGGAGACCUAUUGGAUUAGGUGUCUAAGUUCAUAACUAUUUCUAGAAUGUACUUGACCCGGUUAGCACGGUCCAUUUCUGGUUCCAUGGCAUUGCAAAACUUGGAUAGACUAAAUGAGAGAAAGGACACUUAUGGUUUAUUAAUAUAUUAUAAGUUCUAAUAUAUUAAUAAUAUUAUUUAAUUAGCUUUGACCAAGAAUUAAUUUAGAAUAAAUUUGGUGAUCAAAAGGAGACUAAUUAAAUAUCUGGGGUUGAUUGUGCAAAUCAUCCAUUCUUUUAUAGUGGGCUAAUGAUCCAUGGUUUAGUGAAUUGGGCUAAAACCCAUAAGAUGCUCCAUUGAUAGUCCAUGGAGGUUAUAAACCCAUGUAUCAUGGAAUAUGGAAAGCCAUGUCUAUUAGGGUUUAUAUGUUGUAACCGUACUUGUGACACAACAAUAAAAGGACCCCAUGGCUAGAUAAAUUGGCACACUUUGUGUAGAACAAGAGAGCUAGCCGAUUUUUGAGUGAUAGCGUACUUCUCUUAAAGUUAUUCCAAGAGUUGUGGUGUUGUGUCAAACAUUUGAGGCAUCACACUUGAGGUGCUAGGCUCACAAGGUUCUCAAGGAAUCCAAGCAACAACAAGGGUAUGUUCUUCUACUAGCUUUUAUGUUUCAAAGUUCCCCAUGUCAUGCUAGUUAGGUUAAGAGCCUUGGAAAUCAAAUUUGCAUGUAUCUUAGUAAAACAUAGAUCCAAGGUUCCUAGGGUUGCAUGUACACCUUAGGAGUGUUAGAAUGCUCCAAACGCUUCAGUGGUAUCAGAGUCUAGGCUUGCUUUCUUGAUACUUGAUGUAAAUUGUUGAAAAAAACUCAUGAUUUCCGCAUUCUACUAAGUGAAAUCGCCGAGUACAUGGGGGGACUCNNNNCGAUGAGUCCAUGUAUUAUUUCAUCCUACUCAUCGAAUAGGUUCUUGCACUGGAUGAGUAGGAGGCUCUGAAUGCAGAUUUUCGAGUUUUGCUGCAGCAAAUGGACUAGAAACAUUACCCUAAAUUGUUUUGGUCUUAUAAAACUUGUUUUAGAUGGUGUAAUGCUUAUGCUAAUCCAUUUACAAGGGCUAUUAUCAAAAUUUCAAUUUUUGUAUGUGUUAUUUAUGAUUCUUGAAGUUGUUGAUAUGAAUGUUCAUGAACUUAUGAGUUUAGAAGAUCAUAGGAAUCACUUGCAAAUAGUUUGUUAGUUUAAUUCUUGAUGUUGAUGUGUUUUUAUGGAAUCCAUAAUUUGUCCUCAAGUUAUGGAUUACCAAAAGUCUUUAUUUUAAUGUCCAUUAUAGAACACAUAAGUUACAUGAAAAUGAAGAGCCUUCAUUUUAGUAAACCCAUUAACUCAUAAGUUAUGAAGUUGAAAAGCUCUAAAAGUUACAAACUUGUCCUCAAGUUUUGGAACAUGUAAAGUCAUUUUAAAAAACUUUAGUUAUAACCCCUUGAAUUGUAAAUGUUAAAAUUCAACCGUUAUAGUUUAUAAUAUUCUAAUUUAUAUAUANNNNNNNNNNNNNNNNNNNNNNNNNNNNNNNNUAUAUAUGUAUGUAUAAGAACAAGUCGUUUUACUGUUAGUAGUCCUCAUUCAUGAAGCCAGUCUAAAAGGGGGUAUAAGGUUGUUUCCUAUAAAAUGGCAGCUUAAUGGGUGUCCACUCUCACCCACCGCUUCCUUGACUGGUGGAGGGUCGUUAGCCGAACGGGUAGGACAAUGAAUUUAAUCCUCAUUAAAAGUAUAAUGGUUAUAAAGGAACUAAAUGUUUUUAUAAAUUCCCAAUCUUAGUUACUUUAGGAAAAUGUGAAUAUGUUGCUAACCCAUGAAAUUACACUUUGCACUUUGCUUAAGUCGUUAGUGGAGCGUGUGUGGUCAACCGACACUCUAAAUUGGACUUAACAAGGUAGGAAAAGGGUGGCUUAAGGUUUAUUAUAGAUCGGUGGAGCGCGUGUGGUUAACCGAUACAGAAGUUAGGUGAUAAACAUUAAGAGUACCAAGUAAUUUGCAUGGUUAAUUCACACCUUGUUCUGUGAUCCUCGACAUCUCAAUCACAAAAAUUGAAGGGCACAUUCGAGAUUGAAACAUCCCAUUGAAAAUUUUAAUGAAUCUCAAAAGAAUAUAGGAGUUUGAAAACCAAUUAAAACCUAAUAAUUUAUUUUGUUUUUCAUGGUGGAAAUUGGUGAAUCGUCAUUCACCUACUUCAAAUAUUUUAUAGCUUGGAUUACGGCAUCCCUCGUCUAAGUUGUAAAAUAUUGUGUUGGGUCCUAGCCUUAAUAUUACAUUUGGGUGUCUUAUUAAGGACUAUCUUUAUAUCUAAUCUAAACUUGUCCUUAUUUCUUUUUAGGUGUCUUCCAACAAUGUUGCUUCUGGCUCAAACCUUAUCGGCUCCUUGUCUCUCAUGAACCUUUGUGAUAAAGUCAUCUUCGAUGGUUCCAACUUUAUGGAUCUGAUCUAGAACAUCAGGAUGGUCACUUGUUACCAAGAAAAGGUGUAUGUCCUCGACACGGAGCUUAAGGAACUUGAUGAUUCGUAUGCCACUCCUGAGGAGAUCGCUGAAUUCUGGACUUAUGAGAGAGAUGCCACGAAAGUGGCAUUUAUCAUGUUGGCCACGAUGACAGCCGAGCUCCAAAAGUCCUAUGAGGACUAUUACCCUUUUGAGAUGCACCAGGACUUGAUGGACCGCUACCAUUAGAGAGCUCGUCUAGAGCGGUAUGAAAUCAUCUCCUCCAUUAUAACAACCCGAAUGAAGGAUGGUGAACCCAUCACGAGCCACAUGCAAAAAAUGCAAAGGUAUGUGGACCGUUUGCUGAAAUUGAACGUGAACUUCCCCGAGGAGUUGGCAAUUGACAUCAUUUUGCAUUCCUUAGCUUCGUGUUAUGAUCAAUUCUGAAUGACAUACCACAUGAUCAAGAAGGAAGUUACACUCAACAAACUUCAAGGACUUUUGAAGACGGCCGAAAGUGGUCUUAAAGGUAAAUCGGUUGUUACCACUCCUACUCCUACUGCGGCCCAUGUCUUGGCAAUCGGGCAAGCUACAGGUAAGAAGAGCAAGAGCCCUUCGAAGGGUACCAAAGGAAAGUCCCUAGAUGGCUCCUGUUCAAGUGGAACCAAAAGAGGUUCUGUCACUCCUUCUGCCAACCCUAAAGAGGUUGACUGCUUCUAUUGCCAUGAAAAGUCGUACUGGAAGCGAAACUGCCCAAAGUACGUGCAAGAUGUUAUGGAUGGGAAAGUGAAACCCAACUGAUUUGUGUAAAACUAACUCAUUUUAUUCCUACUCUAAAAAUAUAAUUUAAACACACAAAGGCAGUGAACCUAUCUUUUAGUGGUAUAGUUGAAUAAGUAGGGCGUCGAACUCGAGGAACGAAAAUUAACCUAAUAACUAAUUUUAACCAACAAGUAGUAUAAUUAAAAUGGUUUUCUCUCGUUUUACAAGAGUAGAAACUUGGACACACUAACUAACAUGCAAUUAACUAAUCAACUAAAACCAAGUAAAAAUUUACCAAAUUUAAUAAAAGGUUUCUGCUUAGGUUCAACUCAUUCACUCCUAUGGUUAAUUUUAUGGCAAAGCAAUAGAUUAAUUGUUAUUGGUUACCGACUAAAGUGAUUAGAUUCGCAUUCGCUAUUACCAAUCCUUAGAAAAUCAAUUAAUUUAAGCAAUGAUCAAGUGUUUCAGCUAAUUAAUUCCCUAGUUCAAUAAUUCGGAUUAAAUAAGACUUGUAAUUGGUUAAUCAAAUUACUAAUUCAAUUAGCCUCUUGUUGUUGGUUUAUCAACAAGAAGAGAUGUUCACAAAUUUACCCAUUCUCUAAUUAAUCCUAGUUUCAUAUUCCCUAAUCCUAGGCACAUAACAAAGUGUUCACAUAAAUCAUAUGAGCUAAACAAUUAAGAGAUGUUCAUGCAGCCUAAUUGCCUUCCUAUUAACAUAGAACGGUUGUGGUUAAUGCAUAAGGAUCUUUAACUAACUUAAUUUAACAAAAUCACCAAUAAUCAAUUAAUAAAACCAUAAAAUUAAUCCAUAGGAGUAAAAUUGUCUUCCCUAAACAGAAACUAGUAAAUUUAGCUCAUGAUUACAGUAGUCAAAAAGCUAAAAAUGAAAGUAAUCAACUCAAACAUUGUUCAAUUCAAAGAUAAAGUGAAAAAUUAAACCUAAGUUGCCUUGAAUCUUCUAAGAAUGAGAGAUUAGGGUUCUUCUCACAUUCUUUAGGUCUCCAAGGGUCUCCUUAUUCGCAAAGUAUCCUCCAGAAAAUCCAGAAAAGAUAGUGGAUUCGGAAUUUGACUUCUAUUUAUAAGAUCCUCAAAACAGGGGCAACUCGUCGAGUCUCUUUGUAAAAUCCGUGUAUGGCAAGGACUGUUCGUAUUGCUUCACGAAAAUUCGUGGAAACUCGUCGAGUAGACGCUUGGACUCGCCGAGUAUCUUCAGGUUUGUACUUCUUUCUUCAUUCUCCAGCUUCUAAUUGCUUCUCCUUCCUCCUUUUUGCUCCCAAGCAAGACUUCUGGACUGAAAAUACAAUCUAAACAUUAUUAAGUACCAUUUGUCCAUAAUAUGCAAAUAAUUAGCUAAUAAUUGAUAAAAAUCUAUACUAAAUAUUGAUGGGUUUUGAGCAUUCUAACACUUCCUAAGUGUACAUGCAACCCUAAUAACCUUGGAUCUAUGUUUGUCUAAUUAUCAUGCAAAGUUGAAUUCCAAGGUUAUAUUCCUAUCUAGCAUACAUGGGGAACAAUUUUAACUUGAAUCAUAGAUAGAAUAACUUACCUUGUUGUUGCUUGUGUUCCUUGAAACCUUGUGAGCCUAGCACCCCAAGUGUGAUGCCUCAAAUGCUUCACACAACACCAAAUGCUCUUGGAAAGACUCUUGAGAUAACACACACUUCUCAAAAUCGGCCAAGCCCUCUAGUUUCUUAGUGUUCAACUUGUGUAGCCAAUUUUGUGGAGAAUGGGACUCUUAUAUAGUGUUGGCACAUCUAGGGUUACACCAUGUAAACCCUAAUGUGUCAUGACUCUUCAUUUCCAUGACCCAUGGGUUUGUAACUCCCAUGGAGCAUCCAUGGAGCAUCCUAUGGGUAGAACCCAACUUGAUAAUCCAUGGAGCCUCUUAGCCCACUAUACAAGAUAUGGAUGAUUUACAUAAUCAACCCAUAUAUUUAAUUAGUUAUCCUUUGAUCACUUAAUUAAUUCCAAAUUAAUUCUUUGAUCAACUAAUCAAAUAAUAUUAUUAAUAUAUUAGAACUUAUAAUAUAUUAAUAAUCUCCAAGUGUUAUUUCUCUCAUUUAGUCUAUCCAAUUGCAUGGUGCCAUGCAACCCAAAUGGACCAUGCCGGGUCGGGUCAAGUACAAGCCCGAAAUAGUUAUGGACUUAGACACCUUAUCCAACAGUCUCCCACUUGGAUAAGUCUAAUAACUAUAUCUCUAGUACUUCAGGAACCGACCGGCAAUCGUAGCUCUUUCAAGGUNAAUUAGUACAACAGUAGUUCUUAUUAUACAAAACUACAGUACUACAAUGAUUUACCCAUUACAUAUUUUGGUGAUAAUCUCACUUAAGCAUUAAUGUACAAACUAUAUUUUAUCAAAUGAUAGUUAUACUUGGGUAAUCACACACUUUUACAACAGACGAGUUUACAAAACAGUUAAGCCUUGGUAGAAGGUUACUAUUAUAGAAAAUAUAGGAUUUUCUGAGAGAUUCAAACUUUUGCAAAUACUUUUAAACAUUUAUUUACAUUUUUACAAACUUAUACAUUGGGACAAGUUCAAACGUUUUUGACAAUGAACAUUGACACUAAAAUACUUAUGAACUCACCAGCUUAAUGCUGAUAAACUCUUUCAAAAUAACUUGUAUUCUCAGGUCAUCAGUAGACAGGUACCGAUGCCAGCUUUUGAGAUGAUGGAGCGUACUCAAGACUCAUCAUUUUGUUAUUUUGAUUUACGUUAUAUUUUUGGUGUCUAAAAUUUUACAGAACACACAUGUAUUAAAUUUAUAUAUUUAAUGCAAUGGAUGAUGUUGUUUGCCUAUUUACAUUUACUGUGUUGUGAUUACCUUACAUGACGUCCUCCACCCCAGAACGUUUCCGCCGUUCUUGGUUUUGGGGUGUGACAGACUACCUUUAGACUCAAAGAGUGAGGGUUUGGACUUAGAUCUUAAUUGGGUAAUUAUGGAUUUUGGUCCAGUGUUAGAGGUCGGUGUGCGACAGCAGAAUCUAUAGGAGAUGUUCAUCAUACGAGGAGAGUCUUCUCACUAUACUUACCAUGAGUGGUAUCUUCAUGUGACUGAGGUGUCUUAUGCGCUUAUAUUGAGUAUUUUGAUAUCCUGCAUUAUGUCUUUGUGAUUUAUGUUGUAUAUUAUUCUGAGCUUACUGAGUUAGGACCGGAGGGUCAACCCGAGUUGUGGCACCGGAGGGUCCCACUGAGACACAUUGACCGGAGGGUCUUAUAUGAGUAUAGCCAUGAGAGCCUAAUGAGAAAUGUGUGGUAUUUUGGCAAACUCACUAAGCUUAUUGCUUAUCGUGUUAUGUGAUAUGUGUUUCAGGUUCUUCUCAGGGUCACGGGAAUGCGCCGUCUUGAUUGUACACACAAGAGAAAGCGUUAUGUUUUGAGGAUCCUGGAUUAUUAAUUAAACAAUUAUGGAGUUGCAUUUUGUAAAUUAAAUAAUUGUGAUUUUUGUGAAAUACGUUAUGAGAAUUAUGUGAUUUUAAAAUGAAAAAUUUGUUUGAAAAUCUACGGUGUUACAAGUUGGUAUCAGAGCCUUGGUUUGAGGAAUUCGGAUGCACCUUUUGGUAUGUCUGGACUCAAACUGAGGAUUUGAGAAGAAAUUUCUAAAGAAAUGAUUUUUCUAAAACAAGCAAGAGUUUCUAAGAGAAAAACAAGAAGGCGCAUUGUGUACAAUCAGCCAGAGCCCGAACGGUGAUUUCCUAAAAUAACCUUACUUAUUUGUAUUAUGAGUUAUUAUUGAGAUAUUAGUGAUGCAUGCUAGAAGAUAGGCUAGGUAUUUCAUAUUUUAGGGCUAGAUUUGUCUGAUUUGUGAUGCCUUAGCCUAGGAUUUGUUGCUAUUUGUGAUGUGCUUUGAGUAUGUAUGGAGUAAGAGUAUCCAGCAGGAAUCUUUUAAAGAGAACGUUGAGUAGAGGAGUAAUCUAGGAGAGAUAACUAGAUGAGCAUUAGAGGAGCCUACUAAGGGAGUAGUUAGAUACCCGCAAGAGUUAGGGUUGCUUGAGUUCGGUGAUACGUUUUGAGUGUGAGUAGAGAAAGUGGGGAUUAUUCGAUGCCCGAAUGUUGCUUGCUUUUUGAUUUGUGGAACUCUUUAUGAUGGGAGUCAGCUACUAAGUGAAUAUGNNNNNNNNNNNNNNNNNNNNNNNNNNNNNNNNNNNNNNNNNNNNNNNNNNNNNNNNNNNNNNNNNNNNNNNNNNNNNNNNNNNNNNNNNNNNNNNNNNNNGUUGUUUGAGAGAUAGGAGGGAUAGAAGUAGGAAUUGUAACAGGUUGAGGUGAAGGAGGCAAAGAGCGAACCGGAAUUUCUGGAGUAGGGGAGCGAGGUAGAGUGUCCCCUCGGCCCGAAGCCUUUUCAUCAGAACUUUUGGUCUCAAAGUCUGAAGAUGGAGCGUUCUUCUGCCUAGGAGGAACAUAUUCUGAAUCCAAAUCGCUUGAGGAUUGAAGAAUAAGUUUCCUAGCAGGCUUCUUCUGCUUUUUGGGUUGAGGUUAAGAAGGAGCAGCUUUAUCAGAUUUCCUCUUCUUGGGGGUCUGCCCCUUGGAUGGUUUUGUUAUAAGUCCUUCCUUCUGUGAUUCAGGUUUCUUGCUCCUUUUGGCUGGUUUAUCAGCUUCGUCAAUGGAACGAAGCAUUGUAGGAGUAAGCUCACGUGGACCAACGGACUUAUGUUUUCUGUACUGCUGAAAAAGAUUGCUUGAGGCUGAGAUAGAACCAAGCAUUGUUUUAGGAAUAUAGCCAAUGUACGAGAUUUUGGUAGGAUCAGUGACAAUGAUCUUCGUCGUAUGAAAGGUGGCGAUGGAGGAAAGCAAGUAAUCCGCCAUAAUAGGGAAACCGAUUGCGAUCCAUUGCCCACUUGGUGAUAAUGGUCUAGAAACGCCCACAUGAAAUUUCUGAGUGCUUUGACGAAGAGAGUAGACUUUGAACCAGCUACUGCCAAAUUAUAGACCCAUAGUCAAGGUUGAGCCCACUGUACAACCCAUACAACACUAUCAUAAAAGCCUUGCUAGCACCAUCAGAACCAGGACUUCGCUUAGAUAAACCCUUGAAUAAAAUAGUGAAUAGGCCAUUCCAUUGAGGAGGAAGGCAGGACUUCUUGAACUUCGUGAUGGUAGUUAGGGUUUCAAUUUACCCCAUCUGAUAAAACAUGGUAAACAGUUGGCCAGUUGUAAUAGAAUCAGGGUUUACCAAAGACGGAUCUUGUGAGAGACCGAUUAGGGCAAAAAAUCCGCUCUUGGAGAUGGAGACCCUCUCAUCGUGAAGCUCGAAGUGGAUACGUUCAUUAGCCUUGUUGUAGAACGCCGUAGAGUAGACAUGGGAUAAGAAUGACAUAGGCACAAUUUCAACCUUUGUCAUUGUAUCGACAAAUGGAGAGUGUUUGAGACACUCAACCACACACAGCAUGUACGACUCAAAAACAAAGGGAGUGAGAUCGAUGAUUAGGUUUUGUUGGGGUUUUAUAGUGAGUAGGGGUUGACAAACUGAGGUAUCAUGAACAGAUGAAGAUUCUGCCAUUGUAGGAGCUUGAGAAUGAAGAUGAACAGUGCAGAAAAUAGGCGGGUUUCUUUGAAGGCUUUUUGGAAGUGAUAAAGGUUGAGAGAGUAUUCUUUCAAUUCCAUUUAUACGUACAAGGAAGAGAGAGAAGAAUCCGGCUGAAAUCUUGGAUUAUCUCUAAAAUCGCGCCUGAAUUGAUGUGGGAACAGUUGGCAUGCCGAAGAUGACACAGGAGAGAGAAAAACAUUUCCCCUUUUUCACGCCUUUUCAUAAAGUCACCUUUUUCAAAUCGACAAACCGUUUGAAUUUCUACUGAGUCAGCUACCUUUUCAUCCCAAUCAUUUCACCUGAUGACACUAGAGUGUUUGUGCCUUGAUAAUCUAUGUAAAACUUAGAGUUUUGGAAAAUUAAAAAUUUCCGUGCAAAGGGUGUAAAAGAUAAAGAAAUAAAACAAGUUUUUUGGGAUUAUCUGUGAUGUCGUAUUUAGACAUAAACCAAUUGAUUAUGGGCAAAAAUCACUUCCUUUAAAGUCAAGAGAGAUAUUGAAGUGCUUGCUUGGUUUCCCAUGAAAUAACGAUCAGAAACUUGUUAAGAAGUUUUGAAAGGCAUCUUUUAAAGGUUAAAGUGGGUGGCUUUCGCUUCAAUUCAUAAUUUCGAUACUUAACAUAAGAUCAAAAAGAGAAUGAAGUACUUGUGAGAUCAUUGUGAUCUGUUGAACAAGUAGGUGAGAAAUAAUUUAUAGUGACGAGAGAAUUUAAGAAAUCUAAAAAAAACAUAAACUGGAUCUUUUAGGGUUAGAGAAACCUUGGUGAAAGGCAAUCUCAUAAAGAUCACUCAAAAAGAAAAGGAGAUUCCAUUCGGUAACAAGUAAGAUCUUGAAUUUGUGAAUUCACCGUCAAUUCAUUAGUGGUGUUGAAUUUUGGGUUUCACUUAGUACAUAGUAACAUGAAACUAAGAUCAUGAACACAGAUUUUGUAUAACCAUAAACCUCAGUGAUUAAAACUGAGAGUCUUAGGGGUUAUAGUGAUGAAACGAAAUAUAAUGGAGAAAGAUGAUGGAGAUGGUGUAAGAAGCGAAUGUACCUCUGCUUUUUAAAGAAAAGAUGGGCUAAGCAGACAAGUCUAAACUCAGUUUGAGUAGAGUAAGGUAACUCAUGAUUAGGGUGAACUUGAUAGCCUGGAUUGGGAAAACAUGAUUGGUGUAGAUCAUGUUAUUAAGGCUUCACUCAGAAUCAGUUGAGACUUGAGUCUACAUACAGCAACAUGCCUCUAGGGACACCUAACAAAAAAAAAUUACCAACCAGAGAUGCGUCAUCUAGAAUCAUACUUAGAGAAACAGAAAAACGUUAGAAAUAUGGAAAAUAGUAAAAAAACAGAAAAUAUUUUUGGGUUUUUGUGAAAAUUGACCAAUUGAACGAAAAAAAUAUUUUUGGGAUUUUAGAAAUGAAAAGGAAGUAAUAAUAAAAAAAAUAUACAAAAGAAUACAUUUAAAACGCCUUAAAAAAAUAAGGAAGUUCAGAAGGACCGAACCCGAAAUAGACCGAACGCUUGGUUCAUUUUGGUUCAUGGACCAACUUCACCCGAAAUAGACUGAACCCGAAAUGGGCCAAACCCGAAAUAGACCGAACGCUCGGUUCAUAUAGGUUCGCUCUAUUUCGCUUGUUACCUUUAUGGGAGCGAAGGCGAUUUCGGUACUGACUCGGCUUACAUCAUUCCUAGGCCUUGUAAGAUCUUAUUGAAGCUUGCUUCAGGUAAAGCCUUUGUGAAUAUGUCUGCCAGUUGAUCAGUCGUUCUUACGAAGUGAAUUUCGACGCUGCCAUCUUCGACGUGAUGCUUGAUGAAAUGAUACCUCAGUGCGAUAUGCUUAGUCUUUGAGUGUUGCACUGGGUUGUGGAAAAUUCUGAUUGCACUUUCAGAGUCACAGUAUAAGAGGAUUUUCUUCAUGUUUAAGCCAUAAUCCCGGAGUUAACUCUGUAUCCAUACGACUUGAGAUGUACAAGAUGCUGCAACAAUGUAUUUUGCAUCUGCAGUGGAUAACGACAUGCAAGUUUGUUUCUUGGAUUGCCAACUGACUAAUUUUCCAUCCAGAAAUUGACAUCCUCCUGUGGUGCUUUUACGAUCUAAUCCACGGCCACCUAGAUCAGCAUCCGAAAUGGCUUGUACGAAAAAUCUGGAAUUGGCUGGAUACCAUAGACCGAGAGAGGACGUUCGCUUCAGAUAGCAAAAGUUGUUCUUCACUACUUGAAGAUGAGGUUCUCGAGGAUUCGCUUGAAAUCGAGCACAAUAACAUACAGAGAACAUGAUAUCAGGUCUACUGGCUGUAAGAUACAUCAAAACCCGAUCAUAUGUCGAUAAAGCGUUGUAUCAGCUGCUGGUUUCUCCAAUAAUGGUGUGAGUUUCGUUCCAAAAGCCAUCGACACUUUUACUUUAGAGUCUCCCGUCAUUCCAAAAUUGGUGAGAAAAGUCUUGGUAUAUGCUUCCUGAUUAAUAAAAAUGCCUUCGGAUCCCUGUCUAAUGUUCAAUCCAAGAAAGAAAUUAAUUGGACCCGUUGAGCUCAUCUCAAACUUAGUUUCCAUCAACUUUCUCAAUUCAGCUGUUAAGCUAGGAUUCGUGGAGCCAAAGAUGAUGUCAUCAACAUAAAUUUGGACUAUCAUAAGGUGGUUACCUUCUCACUUACGAAAGAAGGUUGGGUCAACCGAACCUUGUUUGAAUUUAGACAAUUUUAAGAAACGAGUAAGAGUUUCAUACCAUGCUCUGGGAGCUUGUUUUAGACCAUAUAUAGCUUUGUCGAGGAUAUAGCAAUGAUCAGGAUACUUUUCGUUUACAAAUCCCGGUGGUUGCUCAACAUACACGGUUUCUUCAAGUUCACCGUUGAGGAAGACACAUUUGACGUCCAUUUGAUAGACUUCAAAAUUCUUGUGAGCAGCGUACGCUAGAAAGAUCCGAACAGAUUCCAAUCUAGCCACUGGAGCGAAGGUUUCUUCAUAAUCGAUUCCCUCUUCCUGACAAUAUCCUUUGACCACCAGCCUUGCUUUAUUACGAAUGACAUUUCCUUCUUUGUCCAUCUUGUUUCUGAAUACCCAUUUGAGACCGACAACCGAAGCAUCCUUUGAUGUUGGAAUAAGAAGCCAUACCUAGUUUCUUUCAAACUCAUUUAGCUCAUCCUGCAUGGCUUGAACCCAGUCUGAAUGAUCAAGAGAAAAAUUAACUGUCUUUAGCUCGAUUUUGGACACAAAUGAAUUGAACAUACAUAACUCGACUUUUGAAAAUAGUGCAGCCUGUUUCGCUUUGAUUUGAGAUCGUGUCAACACCUUUUCAGAGGAUUCCCAAUAAUUUGAGUCUGGGGAUGAUCUUUGGUCCAUUUCACAAGUGGAGGAUAUUUUGAAUCAUAGAUGGGAUCCAAUUCAGCAUUGAUUUCUUCUUCGAGUUCAGACAAGAUGUCAUUUUCACUAACUGUUUUCUCCCCCUUGAAGAAUGAUUCCUGUUCAAGACCAGCAUUUGUACCUCCUUCAUUUGUUGGAGUUGCAGUGGAGGUGGAUGUAUUUGUUGAUGAGUCCUCCCCUGGAAAGAAAAACCUUGAUCACAAUGAGGAGAAGAACUCUCUCCCUCGACAGUAGGAUGGUCAUCAGAAGGUUGGCUUCCAGUUGUAUCUUCGGUUCCUUUGGAUUGUUCAUCAGCCCUUUUCCUAGAAGCAUCGUCUAUAACUUGUUUCAUAUUGUCAACUUUGUUGUCAUAAGCAGUUGACUCUGAGUCGAUCACUUUCUGAGGCUCAUCAAACAAGAGCAUGAAUUGGUAAAAAAUAUUUGAGAUUGAGACAGUAACCUGACCGUUCUUUGGAAAUAUGUCUUGUGAUGCAUCUUCGGUUGCCCUUAACUUCUUAACAUAACUAUCAUCAAAAGUUACAUAGUAUGUUUCUUCAAUUUUCUUCGAGCGUUUAUUGAGAACUCUAUAUGCCUUGGAGUUCAGGGAGUAGCCUAUGAAAAUUCCUUCAUCCGCCUUAGCAUCGAACUUGUUGCGAUUCUCUUCGGAGUUGAAAAUGAAGCACCUAGAACCGUUUAUUCAAGUAAGAUCGAUUCUGAGUAUAGCAUGGAGCCGCAAUUGCAUCAGCCUAGAAGUAUAAUGGCAAGGAUACAAAUCAUAACAUGGUGCGGGCAGCUUCACACAAGGAUCGAUUUCUCCUUUCAACAAUGUCGUUUUGUUGUGGAGUAUAGGGGGCUGAGAAAUUGUGAGUUUUCCCCUUUUCAGCAAGAAAACUUUCAAAAUAUUUGUUUUUGAAUUCUAGGCCAUUAUUGCUCCUUAUAUUACGAACAAUCUUUCUGAGUUGCGUCUCUAUCUGUUUAAUGAAGAGCUUGAGCUUUGUUACAGCUUCAGACUUUUGCUUGAGAAAGAAGGUCCAUGUGAACCUUGAGAAAUCAUCUACUAUAACCGGAAUAUAUUUGUUUCCUCCAAUGCUUUCGAUGGACGAUGGACCACAUAAAUCAAUAUGCAAUAACUCCAAUGGUUCAUUUACCUUAGUGUUGAUUAUUGAAGGAUGGCUCUACCGACUCUGCUUUCCCAUUUCACAUGCUGCACAGAGAUGUUCUUUAUCAAAUUUCAAAACUGGAAGUCCUCUAACAUGAUCACCUAAGACUAAUUUGUUGAUGUCCUUGAUGUUCAGAUGAGAGAGCCUCUUGUGCCAUAACCAACUUUCAUCAGAGUAAGCCUUUGUGAGUAAACAGAUUGCUGGUUUACCUCUUAUCAGAUUAAGGUUCAGUGGAUACAUUUCUCCUUUUCGCUUGGAUCUUAAAAGAACGUUUCUUGACUUCUUCUCGGCAAUUUCUGAGCCUUCGUCGUCGAAAGAUACUUUCAACCCGGUACCAACCACCAGCUGUGAUACACUUAUGAGAUUGUGUUGGAGCCCUACAACGUAUGCUACCUUCCUUAUGGAGAAUUCGCCAUUAGUGAUCAUUCCAUAUCCUUUAAUAGUUCCAAACGAGUUGUUGCUAUACUUUACAAUGCCACCAUCUUUUAGAGAGUGAAACUCCGUUAGUUCCUCCUUCCUUCCUGCCAUGUGACGCGAGCAGCCACUGUCAAUGUACCAUUCUUCGUCAAACUGCUCGUCACUGAUAACCUGCAAAAAUUAAGCAGAUUUAGGAACCCAAAGUUUCUUGGGUCCUUGUGAGCCUUUUACAGGAAAAUAUAUAGUAAGAGAAAUAUCAACCAUAUAUGUGCGUUUAAUUAAAGUGGUUUCAUCCUUUCUUUUAAUGGUGAAAAAUUUAAUUUUUGUUGACUUAGGAGAACUAGGGCUUUUGACAGAAGGACUAGAAUUUAGAGAUUUGGAAUUAGGAGAUACGUUAGGUUCUUGAUUUUUGAGAUCAGACUUGUAGGCUUGAGGACCGAAACUUUUCUUUCGGUUAGAGUUGGAUGAGGGACCGAAACUUCCCUUUCGGCUGUUUAGGGAUGAGGGACCAAAAUUUCCCUUUCGGUUGUUUAAGGAUGAGGGACCGAAACUUCCCUUUCGGUUGUUUAAGGAUGAGGGACCGAAACUCUCCUUUCGGUUGUAGUUGGAAGAUGAACCGAAACCACCCUUUUGGUUGUUGAUGGGUGAUGGACCGAAACCGCUCUUUCAGUUGUAUUCACUUGAGGAACCGAAACUACCCUUUCGGUUCCAAUCUUUUGAAUGACUGAAACCACUCUUUUGGUUCCUAUCGUAACUGUGCUUCUGGUUCCUUGAGUUUUCCUCCAAUUUAGACUUUCUUUCAAUCCAUACAAAAUCAGGAUUUUGAGAGUUCCAAAAUCGUUUUCUUUCGGAGAGAUUCUUCUUGUAUCUUACGUUCCGUUGAUGCUUUCGAUCGGCGACUUGUUUGGGAUUUCUAUGAAUGUUGGCCUUUCUUUUAGAAGCAUGAGCACAACAUUCACUCUUUUUUAAAGAAGUUUCACUCGUAGUUUGCAUCGGUUCAUCCACAUAUGGUUUAGUUCCACUUGUGCUCGGCAUAUCGUACUUUGUAGGCUCAUUUAGUGGUUCAGGUAUGUAUCUACCUUUCACUCUCCAUGAGGUUUUCUGAGAGAGACCCUUCGUUUCAUAUACGUUGUCGAUUGGGGCUGACCAAAAGUACUCAUCACAUCCACCAACAUUGUCUUCUUCUACCAUCGCUGUUAACUCUGCAGUUUGUUGUGGAGUGACCCCCGACACAGUGUAAACUUGAUUUGGGGUAGUUUGAACCUUUUGCUACACAACAGCUUUAGCUUUGAGAGUUUUGGACUUGUCAGUAGUGGAGCGAGCAAACUCAACAGAUUUUUCAGAAAUGAGGUUCUUAUUGGACUUUGGUUCAUUCUUGGCUAAUUCGGAACAGUCUACCAAAUCUUCUACAAAAAUUUGACUGAUAUCAUUAUCCUCAUUAAGUUCAGAUGUAUUUUCAACAUCAAUUUUGUUACCUGAACUUAAGUUGACAUUCAAUGAGUCAAAUUUUUGUAUAGUUUCCGUUCUCAGUUUCAACCUAUCAUUUUCAUCUAGUAGAUUUUUUAGCAUGUCCUUGUGGUCCUUGGACUUUAUGUAGGAUUCAAUUUUGUCCAGACCUAUCUUAUAUGCUCGGGACACUUCAUUAGAGGACACGACACUUUCACAGUUGUAUGCUUCUGCAUCGAUUUCAUCCUCCUUUAAUUCAAGGAAAGGUAAAAUCAUACGAUGACUUUUCUUCCCUAUUUCACAAUCAAGAUGCAACCGAGUAAUGUUAAAAUAAAGCCUCUUAGCAAUUAAACAAAAAACGUUUCUCUGUUUGAGAAGUUUAAGAUUAUCUCUUUGCAAAUAAAUAGAAUCAUCUUUUGAUCUAAUUAAUUCUUUUUCCUUUUGCUCGAUCCACAUUCUUCGUUCCUCACUCUUUGAUGAAAUCGUACUGAUUUGAUCAGUUAGGUUAGAAUUCGUGACACGAUUUUGGGUGAGACUGCUACUUAUGCUAGAGAAUUUUGACUUCAAAUUAUUUAAUUCUUUUUCAUAAUUAUUAGCUGGUAUUUUUAGAGAGGCAAGAAUAUCUUGUACCUUUUUGAUCAACUCAUCGCAUUCAUUGAUCUGAGCACUGACAGGCUUGCUAGCGAAACAUCUGUCCUCUCGCUCUCUUUCUUCUUCAACUCCCCAUCAGUUGUGUAUCCCCUCAUUUGGGACACACCCUCGGUCACUGCAAAGAAUCUUCCCAUUGACUGCUUUGCUUUUGCCAUCAUAGCCUUUCCGUAAGUAGGCUUACUAACUUCAUCAUCCUCCGAAUCUGUGGACCAAACUUCCAGACUUCCAAACUCAUCACUGUUGGUUGAACCCUGCACAAUUAAAGCAUUCAUAGUAGAGUUAUUAAUAGCAUGCUUUCUUUUCUUUAUCUCCUCCAAUCUUCUCAGGAGGAUCGCUUCCUCGUCAUCUUCGCCUGUGUUCUCUUCUUUCUUUUCUCAACAUGCAGUCUUUGGCAAAAUGAUUUUUGCCUCCACAGUAAUGACAGUGAAAUCCUAAGUCGCCUCCAAUUUUAGUCUCCUUCUUUGACUCUUCAGAUUUUGAUCCCAUCUUCGGUUCCUCCUUGACUCGUUCGACGCUAUAACUACCCUGCCAAUUUCGGUUCUUGUUGGCUGGGAAUUUCUUCUUGAUGAAUUUUCUUGGGUUCGACACCAUCACUGCAUAUUCUUCGCCGGUUAGAUCAAAUUCAGCAAGAUCUAAUUCCUCUUCUUCUUCGAUCGAACUCUUUCCUUUAGAGACAAGAGCUAGAGAACCAAGACCCGAAACAACAUUCGUUUCCUUCAAUAAGGCAUUCUCAUGGGAUUUUAAAAUACCCACAAGUUUUGCCAAAGAGUAUGACUUGAACUGUUCAUGAGCUUUGACAGUUGACACAACGGCCAUCCAUUUAGAGCUGAUACCAUUCAUGAAAGUGUCCUUUUGUUCAAUCACCUUUCUUUCAAUCCCAUGCUUUAUCAUCUUGCUCAAAAGAUGAUUGAAACGAUCAAAAGUUUGGACAAGCUUUUCUUCAGGCUUUUGCUUAAAAUCACCAAACUCUGAUAACAGGAGCGUUUGAAUAGAAUGUUCCAGAUCUUCAUAUGUGGAAUAUAAUUCCUUCAAUCUAUCCCAGAUCUCCUUAGCUAUAGCACAAGAACUUACCAGAUNUUAGAGCUUUGAUGUUGCACUGGAACUUCUCUUUUUCAUCCUGAGGAAUGUCUUUGACGUCAUUAACAAGCUGAUUGUAUUCCUUCUGCGUUUUAACAAUCUUUGACAUGCUUGAAUGCGCGAAUGGGCCUGAGGUGAUUGCUUCCCAAAUUAAAUACCCAUUGUCCUCCGAUCCAAUGAUGUAGUCUUCAAAGUGAUGCGUCCAGACUUCAUAGUCUUGCGUANNNNNNNNNNNNNNNNNNNNNNNNNNNNNNNNNNNNNNNNNNNNNNNNNNNNNNNNNNNNNNNNNNNNNNNNNNNNNNNNNNNNNNNNNNNNNNNNNNNNUCGAAGAAGUUCGUAGGGUUUUUAAUUCCGCAUUGAUUGAUAUUUAUUGAUUCGUCACUCUUUAUUGACGUAUCUCAUUAAUUGUUAAUCCAACCCUAAUCGAAAAAUUACAAGUCUGAUCUUUUACAGGUUUUCGAUCAAAAGUAUUCACGAUGUCUAUGGACGAUUCUCAAACCAAUCCGAUCAAUAUCUUCAACAGCAUAGGGUCUACAACAAGAAUACUGAUCUUGUAUACGCAAGACUAUGAAGUCUGGACGCAUCACUUUGAAGACUACGUGAUUGGAUCGGAGGACAAUGGGUAUUUAAUUUGGGAAGCAAUCACCUCAGGCCCAUUCGCGCAUUCAAGCACGUCAAAGAUUGUUAAAACGCAGAAGGAAUACAAUCAGCUUGUUAAUGACGUCAAAUACAUUCCUCAGGAUGAAAAAGAGAAGUUCCAGUGCAACAUCAAAGCUCUAAGGAUGAUAAGGUUUGCGCUGCAAUCGGAUACGUUUCAUCUGGUAAGUUCUUGUGCUAUAGCUAAGGAGAUCUGGGAUAGAUUGAAGGAAUUAUAUUCCACAUAUGAAGAUCUGGAACAUUCUAUUCAAACGCUCCUGUUAUCAGAGUUUGGUGAUUUUAAGCAAAAGCCUGAAGAAAAGCUUGUCCAAACUUUUGAUCGUUUCAAUCAUCUUUUGAGCAAUAUGAUAAAGCAUGGGAUUGAAAGAAAGGUGAUUGAACAAAAGGACACUUUCAUGAAUGGUCUCAGCUCUAAAUGGAUGGCCGUUGUGUCAACUGUCAAAGCUCAUGAACAGUUCAAGUCAUACUCUUUGGCAAAACUUGUGGGUAUUUUAAAAUCCCAUGAGAAUGCCUUAUUGAAGGAAACGAAUGUUGUUUCGGGUCUUGGUUCUCUAGCUCUUGUCUCUAAAGGAAAGAGUUCGAUCGAAGAAGAAGAGGAAUUAGAUCUUGCUGAAUUUGAUCUAACCGGCGAAGAAUAUGCAGUGAUGGUGUCGAACCCAAGAAAAUUCAUCAAGAAGAAAUUCCCAGCCAACAAGAACCGAAAUUGGCAGGGUAGUUAUAGCGUCGAACGAGUCAAGGAGGAACCGAAGAUGGGAUCAAAAUCUGAAGAGUCAAAGAAGGAGACUAAAAUUGGAGGCGACUUAGGAUUUCACUGUCAUUACUGUGGAGGCAAAAAUCAUUUUGCCAAAGACUGCAUGUUGAGAAAAGAAAGAAGAGAACACAGGCGAAGAUGACGAGGAAGCGAUCCUCCUGAGAAGAUUGGAGGAGAUAAAGAAANCUAUUAAUAACUCUACUAUGAAUGUUUCAAUUGUGCAGGGUUCAACCAACAGUGAUGAGUUUGGAAGUCUGGAAGUUUGGUCCACAGAUUCGGAGGAUGAUGAAGUUAGGAAGCCUACUUACGGAAAGGCUAUGAUGGCAAAAGCAGAGCAGUCAAUGGGAAGAUUCUUUGCAGUGACCGAGGGUGUGUCCCNNNNNNNNNNNNNNNNNNNNNNNNNNNNNNNNNNNNNNNNNNNNNNNNNNNNNNNNNNNNNNNNNNNNNNNNNNNNNNNNNNNNNNNNNNNNNNNNNNNNAAGGAUAAGAAAAAGAAGAAAAUCGGUGAAGAUGAUACAGACAAUAAAGAUGAUGUCUACGUUGAAGUACCAGGAAACCUGUCCCAAAGGUUGAUUCUUCAGAAAAACAAACUGAAGAAAUUUCUAUGAAGGAGCGAGCUGAGAUAGAACAGAAGCGAAAGGAGGCGGAGCUCCUUGAAAAGAAAAAGGCCAUGUUCCCUGAAUGGACUAAAGAAUCAUUUCAGAGGUGUGCAAUUGACGAGCCAGCUGUUCUAUGGCUGAACCAAUAAUGCCAUUCAACCUUGACAACUCCAGGGAUACACAGUUCGAUAUGUCAAUCACUAGAAAGGCAUUUGUCUUCCAUUGUUUCAACUUCACUGCUGCCAUUCCAUCUCCAGACCCGAAGGUAGAUAGGGAUCUGUUAGAGUUUUACUUGGAGUUUGCUCAACCUCAAUACUAUUCAUGGAGUUUGAAGAAGAUAACCACCGUCAAGGUGAUGAAGCCCUAUUCAGCAGGGAAAUUCAUCAAUGUCAAGUUCAGAGUGACUAGAGGAACCGAAGGCUCUGUUCACCAUUUUUCCUUUGCUGAUCUACCGAACCUCAACCCCCAUGACUGGAUACUCCUCAACAAUAUACUUUUGUUAAAUCCUCAGGAGUUUCAGCCAAUUAUUGAUCAUGUCAAGAGUAUGCUUGUUUGCUACAUACAUGAGGUAGCGAAGAUGGACCAGGAAAUUGCAUCUGCCAUACACAAGCGACCAACGAUCAAACCGAUGGGCAAAGCUGGCAAUGUUAAUUCCAUGAUCAAGGGGAAGAUUGAUUCCAAGUAUCACACAGUAAUGUUUCUCAGGGGCGAAGGUCAAAAGUGCAUGUUCGCUCGUGUUGACAAACACCUUUUCUCGACAUCCUGUCUCAAGCAUAUAUUGGAAAUCAUACAAAGGUGCGACCAGAACACUGCUGCUGAUAAAAAUUUGUUCGUCGACAUGCUGAGGUGGUACAUUCUUUUCCGACAGACUCUUCUCGCCAUUAUUCCUAAAUUGUUUAAAGUUAUAAAAACUGUGAGACCUGCCCAGAAGAAAUAAUCUCUCACCUCAUUUGACGCAAAGGGGGGAGAUUGUUGAGUCUAGUGUAUUGCGUCAUGGGCUUGGUCCAUUGCCUAGUUUAGUUGCCGGUAUUGGGCCUAUCCAGCCGUGCAUUAUUUUUCAUUAGGGUUUAGUAUAUACGUUGCAUGCAUGCAGACUUAGAAGGUAGAGCUUUCAUUGUUUUCGUAUUCAAUGUUUUGUAAACCCUAGCUCGCCUCUAUAGCGGAAGUUCUUCAUCGAGCUCUGCUUAGGCGUGACUCAGUUUUGAAUCAUAAGCUCAUAUUUGAUUAUGUUCUGUGUUCGUUCUUAAUUUAUUCUUAAGCUGUUAGAAUUCUUUUAUCAUACUUGUGAAAGAUCUAAACGAUCUAAGAGUUUUGAACUCAUCCGAGUAUAAUCCUAGAAACUCAAUGCAGAAAUCAUGUAUGUGUGUGAUGCGGUGCUACGCUGCUGGCUCCUUCCCCUUGGAUGAAGAGGUACCUGAAACCAAAACUGAAAUUGUAAGUACAAAGCUUAGUGAGUUCCCCCAUCAUACCACAUACCAUACAAUCAUACAUGCUUCCAGGCAAUUCUGGGGUGCCCGACCUACCCAUGUCAAGCCAUUUCGGGGUGCUGACUACCCAUGUCAAGCCAUUAUGGGGUGCUAACUACCCAUGUCAGGCCAUUCUGUGGUGCCUGCCUACCCUCCAGUCUAUCUCACCCGGUCACGGGGACUAUUUCACCCCCUACUACUAUGACAUAACAACAUAUCAUAAACGUGCUGUCAGACAUAUCUGGGGUGUCCGACCUACCCUUCGGUCCUAACAACCGAUUGGGGGACUAUUACCCUCCAACUACAUUAUCACAUAAAACAUAGCAUACAGGCACAUAGAACAUAUCAAGUAAUAGAAAACCAAAAAACUAUCAUAAAGACAAUCAUAUCAACUGUAAUCAACUAGUAGUGGGUCGGCCUUGGUGCCUUAGGUCCACUUCUAUUGGAAGGUAACUCACCUCGAUGUUGUGUAGUGUCUGCAUUGUCCUUGGUGUGAAAGUCGGCUCUCCUCGACUCCUCAGUCUCUACACGACAACCCUUUGAAGUUAUCAACUUGUACUCACAACCCCUACAAGGGUCAACUUGAAUCUAAAUCAAAGUCAAAGUCAAACCAUGGUCAAGUUAACUCUUUGGUUAACCAGAUUUGCCGAGUUGGUUCGCCAACUUGUCGAGUCCCUUCUUCCAAGAAAUACUACAAACUCAUCCCCACUCGUCAAGUCUAGAAAGAGCUCGAUGAUUUCACCUUCAACAAUACUUCAGUCAAUCUUCAAUCGACUCGGCGAGUUCUUCCUUGACUUGUCGAGUUCAUCUUCAGCAUAAGAAUGCAUCCAGUCUAUGACUCGCCGAGUUUUAAGAACAACUUGUCGAGUCCAUCUUCAAAGAUUGGGAGAUUUCCUAGGACUUGCCGAGUGUGUUCUAACACUCGUCGAGUCCCAUGAUUCCCAGGUCCCUUAUGAGCUUAAACAACUUGGGAACCUUCCACACUAUCAUCUGGUCCUUCGACAAAAGGGAUUUGGUGGUCGUUACAACCGGACUCGCCAAGUUCAAAGAAUGACUCGCCGAGUCCAUCCUUGACCAUUACUAUAUAGUCUGUUUAAAUGGGUCUUAACACCUAAGAACUAUAGUUCUAGCCUCCUAAUGUCCAGUUUACACAUAAAGUCUUAAGCUUGGUGCACAUGCACGAGAUCUUUAGCUCAAAAAGCCAUAAAAGAUGGUCUACAAGAUGCAUGGGGUGUUUAUGGCAACAAAGUUGGCAUCUUUAUGCCAUAAAGACCCCUAAUGGCCCCAGAUCUGAAGUCAUAACUUCAUAUUAAACUUCAUAACUUGAAAAUAGAUUAGAAAGCCCUAAAUAUACCAAGAUCCAAGACCUAAAGAUGAUUAUUUACAUGGAAGAUCAAGAUAGGAGCUUUUUACCUUAAAUGAGCUGGAAAUGGAACAAAAUUUAUGGAUCUCCAAGCUCCCACUUGAAUGCCCAAGCUCCUUUCCUCUACUCAGGCUUCACAAACCACCAAAAUGCACAAAAUGACCUUAGAACACUCAAACAAGGCUAGGAUUUUAAGUUAGAGUUUUCUCUGGACGAUGGGGCUGAGUUGAGGGGUUAUAAUGUGUUUAAAUAGGGUGAAAACCCUCAAUUUAGGGCUUUACUCAAACAGUGUCUACUCGCCGAGUCGGUCCCUCGACUCGUCAAGUAGACUAGUUAAACUUCUUGCGGAUCACGACUCCACUCAACGAGUUGGGCCUACAACUCGUCGAGUCCCAGAGAAAACAUAAUAAAUACUUGAAUUAAAGGCAUACCAGGAAUCAGUUGUUACAAAUCUCCCCCAUUUAUCUUAGACUUCGUCCUCAAAGUCUGUUGCUCGGUCCUGAAAAUGCUCGAGGUAAUGCUUCAUCAUCUCAUCCUCCGGUUGCCAAGUCCAUUCUGAGCCCUUGCCAUGCCGCCACUGCACCUUAACCAUCUCCACUCUCUUGUUCCUCAGAUCCUUCGAUUUCCUGUCAAGGAUUGCCACUGGUCGCUCGAUGUAAUUCGUUUUGUUAUCCACCUGAAUAUUCUCUAAUGGCACUACUGCCAAAUUGUCCACCAGAAACUUCCGCAACUGGGAGACGUCAAAAGUGCUAUGUAUCUGUCUAAGUUCGGCUAACAGAUCCAACCUAUAUGCCACGUUGCCCACCAAGGCUACUACACUGAAGGGUCCAAUAUACCUGGGGCCCAGCUUGCCCCGCUUCCUGAAUCAAAUGUUGCCCUUCCAAGGCGACACUUUCAGGAGCACCAUAUCCCCGACCUGGAACUCCAGGUUCGAUAGACGCUUGUCGGCAUAAAUUUUCUGCCGAAUCUUAGUAGUCUAAGACCUGCUCCGAACCUGUUGGAUCCUCUCCGUCGUCUUGAGUACCACCUCGGUACUCCGCAUAACCCUCUGACCAACCUCACCCCAGCAUAUCGGGGUACUACACUUCCUCCCAUACAACAUUUUGAAGGGAGAACGGUUGAUACUCGCAUGAUAGCUAUUAUUAUAGGAGAACUCCGCCAACAGAAGGUAAGUAUCCCAACUACCUCCAAAAUCUAAAACACACGCCCAUAGCAUAUCCUCUAGAGACUGGAUGGUCCGCUCGUUCUGAAACUUCUUCCAAAAUCUGGAAGUGGACCGCACAUCCCUGUCAUAAAUCACUGAAACUAGCACCCCGUGUCGCGCCACUACCUCCCUAAUAUAGAUUUCGACCAACUUCUCGGCCGAAAUCCUCUCCUUAAUCGAAAUGAAAUGGGCGCUCUUGGUCAAUUGAUUAACGAUGACCCAGACUGAAUCUACCCGUCGUGCAGUCCUGGGAAGCUAUGUGAUAAAAUCCAUAGUAAUAUCCUCCCAUUUCCACAGCGGGAUAUCCAACGGCUGGACCUUGCCGUGAGGUCUCUGGUACUCAUCCUUGACCUUCCUUCAGGUCAGGCACCUCUUCACAAACCAAGCUAUGUCCCUCUUCAUAUAGGGCCACUAAUAAUCAAGACAAAGAUCUAUGUACGUCUUCGUCGGCCAGUGAUGGAUACAGAACUUGGAUUUGUGUGCCUCCUCCAUCAAUACCUGACGCACACCUCCAUGAUAUGGUACCCACACCCUAUGGUUAAGAGUCAACAAUCCCCAGCUAUUAAUGUCGAAGGAGGAAACCUGACCCACAAUACGCUCUCUCUUCCGAUGUUCCUCUUUCAUUCCCUCCUGCUAGGCCUCCCGAAUCUCCUCCAACCAGAGGAUACGUUGGGCGUACUAGGCACUGAAUGAAAACCAUAAAUGGGGGGUGUCCAUAUAUAAAUAAUAAGAUUGACUCAUUCCUGGCCACCAUCCUCAGACAAUCACCUUCUCAAACCCUAAAUACUCGUCCAUUGAUCUUUUGUGUCCAUUUAGGAGCUAUUGAGUGAUAUUUUGUUUCUUUGGAGUGAAGAAGGAGCCUUGAAGAAGAAAGAGUGGGAUUCUAGGCUUUGGAUUUGAGCUUAUCUGAGUUUGAAGCUUCAUGUUGAGGUAUAAAGCUCAAAGCUUUCUCACUCUUUUGUUUUGUGCAUCAUUUUACGGUUUAUUAUCAGCUUUCCCGAAGUUGGAGACUUGAUGAGAUAUUAAGCUCCAGAGUUUAUUAUUAGCUCCUUUGAGUAUCUUAAGUGGUGUAGAGUCAUAAAAAUCAAGACUUGGAUGUUUGAAUCAACCCAUGCAUGAGAUAUGAGCCUUUUGAGAUAAUAGAGUGAGAGUUUUGGGUUUUUGUGACUUGAUCAACCAUGCAAACGCUUAAAGUCACAGACUUUAUGGAGUAAGAGUCUCUAUAGAGUCCAGAUCUGUGAUAUGAGUUAAGGUCUUAACGACUUAAGACCAAGGAGCAUGCUUGGGCCGUAAACACAUAAUAAGAGGGUUUUUAUGCCUUUAAACCCAUCCAAACCAAAUUUGGGACUUAGAUACGACUAUAUGGCUUACCAUUUUGGACUUAGAAGACCCUAAACAUGAAUUUUGAGGAGUAAACUUGAGUUUACUGCCCAAGAACAUGCUUGGGCCGUAAACUCCUCAUUCAUGGAGAGUAAACUCAAAAACAAGUGUUUAAAAGCCAUGUAAACACACCAUUAGCAUUGGAAUAAAUCCUAGAACCAACUAAAAUUAGUUUGGAGACCUUAAACAUGAUGAAAUCCUCUCAUUUAAGAGUUCACGGCCAUAACUCCCCAAGAAAUAGUUCCAGGGCCGUAAACUCAUAAAAACAUGUCAAAUGGUGCCCUAAACGUCAUUCUAAGGCUUGUAAAAUUAGUUUGAAUCACAUGUGAUUGAUCUAAAGCCACCAAAUCAUCAAUAUAAGAGGGGUAUAGGAGCUUACGGCCGUAAACUCCAUGUUUAGGGCCAUAAACUCCCUUUGAUGGUGUUAUUGGUGACUUAAUUCAUUCUUAAGCUUUAGAUAAAUUCAUCCCAACAUUUCUUAAGUGUUAUCUUACCAUUUGGCACCAUAAAACCUCACAUUCAUGAGUUCACGGCCGUGAACUCAUAUGUUUAUGGUAUUAGGGCCAUAAACUCCCUAAGGAGUUUACUAUUAAAGUCCAAACUCGUUAUCCAAGCCAUAUACGUCCGUAGAUGUCACCCAGGUCACUCCAAACACUUGAUUUGAAGUGUUUUCGCUCAUUGGAGUGUAUUAUCAUAUCUAAUUAGUGUUUUAAAAUCUAAAUAGAUAUAUUUGUGUAUUAUUUAAUAUUACAUAGGAACCUCACACGUAUUCAAGCCUCGAUUCGACGUUUAGCAUCCUAAUCGACACAUUCUGCAUCCGGUGAGUUCAUACCCCUACUCUUUUUCAAUGGUUUUUCAAUGUUUUCAGGGGGGGGGAUACAAGCAAAAAUAGAAAUUUUUUCAAAACCUUAAAUUGAUGUAUUUCAAUAAAUAUCUGGCAAACUUAUAAAUAUCUUUACCCCUUAUGUAUUAUGCUGAGCAUAAGGGAUAAUUUAUCAACUACAACAAUAUGAAUUUAUGUUAAGGAAACAAUCAAACUAGUCAAAUUAUUAUGGGAAUAAUUUGGGGUUCUUUAGUUCUUGUUUAAACACAUACUGAUAUAUGUAAAGUUAUUAGAUAAACUAUGUCUGAUUCAGUUUAUCUCUGUUUCAUUUAGAAUGUAUUGCUAGAUAAUUUCAUUGUAUAUAUUUGUAUUCACUGUAUCUUGUUUCAUAACGUUUAGUAUGUUUGAUAUCGUAUGAGAACUUCGUGAAUAAUUUAGUACAAGCUUGUGAGUUUCGUCAUUACCCUUCGGGUUAUCAGUAAAUCCUCCCCGGAAGUGUAACCAAAGUCUGCUGGAGGGAGAGCNAAUUUGUGAAUAGAUCUAUUCGGGACUGACAAUCCCACACCUUAACUGCUAGCUACAGUUAGGCGGGCACGCUUGGGGUGACAAAUACUGGAUAUCGUCCGACGUCUGAGAAGCGUCAAGGAGGUCUCGUUGUCGUAUCAGCAUGGUUACCCGACUCACUAUACGUAUUAAUAUAAGUUUAUUCACAGUUUGGUUUUGGUUUUGAUUCAAUUUCAUAUCUAUUUUCUAUCUAAAGAUUUUAUAUCUAGUACGGGAUGAUAGUCCCAUGGUUUUCAGCCUAUUGAUUUUGUAUCUGGUACGGGAUGUUAUUCCUAUGGUUUUCAGUAUAUAUAUAUAUAUAUAUAUCUAUAUAUAUAUAUAUAUACAUAUAUAUAUAUAUAUACAUAUAUAUAUAUAUAUAUAUAUGUAUAUAUANNNNNNNNNNNNNNNNNNNNUAUAUAUAUAUAUAUUACAUUUCUAGUGCGGGAUGCUAGUCCCAUGGUUAGAGUGUAUAUCUAGUACGAGAUGGUAAUCCCAUGUUUUUCAACUUAUAUCUAGUACGGGAUGAUAUUCCCAUGAUUUCAAUCUAUAUCUUGUACAGGAUGGUAGUCCCAUGGUUUUGAAUGUAUAUCUAGUACGGGAGGAUAGUCCCAUGGUUUUCAAUAUAUAUCUAGUCCGGGAUGGUAGACCCAUGGUUUUUUGAAUCUAUAUUUAUCCAUAUUUUCAUGUGUAUCAAACUAUCUUGUAUCUAGUACGUGAUGGUAGUCCCAUGGUUUUCAAACUAUUUCUAUCUGUAGAUUCGUGUAUAUCAAACUAUCUUAUAUCUAGUUCGGGAUAGUAAUCCCAUGAUUUUAAAUAUAUAGUUUUAUGUAUUAAAAUAUACUCUGUGAUUUUCAACCGGUCUUGCAUUUAGGAAAAUAUGGGAUUUUCCUGGGGUAACAUAUAACAUGUAAUCGAAUUGGUAAUAAAUGAUAACUAAAAUAUUUUACAUAAGAAAAUAUGGGAUUUUCUUAGAUAACAAACCUUUUCAGAAAACUAAAGGAAACUAGUACAUUUUUCUGAAAACAAACAUCUUAUGAACUCAUUAGCUUUAUGCUGAUUUUCAAACCGCUUGUAUUCUCAGGUCAGCAUUAGACAGGUACCCGAUGAUCUGUUUUGGCGAAGACGGAGUGCGUAGAAGACACGUCUUACUUUUUUUCAUAUAUACUAUGUAUCACACUUGUACAAUUUACUUUUGAAACAAAUGUAAACUUUUAUAUCUAUAAUGUAACGGUUGUUUACUUUGCUUACUAUGUGCAUUGGAUUUGAUACUCAACGUGGAGUCGACCCCGGAAAUGUUUCCGCCUUCGGUUUUCGGGGUGUGACAGAUUGGUAUCAGAGCCCUUGUUUAUAGUGAAAUGAGUAUACCAAACCUUACAUGGUAUAAGACUAUAAACAUUAAAGGGCCUAAGUGCUCUGAACUAAAAAUAUCCUUCAAAAUAUAAGUAUUUUCAAAAGUAUACAAGUAUACCGAACCGUCGAGAUCCGUGACUACAAGUAAACAAAACAUAAGUAAAUGGGUGUUGUACGCUGCGGUUAAACCUGGGCAGUUAUGUAGUCGUGUCUAGGAUCAAUAUAGUCUGGCCAACUAUAUUCAUUCGAGACACGUCCAACAUGUGCUUGGGAGUGACUGUGGUACGCAUCAUACCUAAAACUUACCCAAUACCCCAAACAACGAGUCAUCGUUGCAGCGAAUCAUGAAAUACUAUGGGAGUAUUUCUCGAGUCAAUCCUUUAUAGAAAUCCUCAUUCAAGCGUUGUUCCUUGAUUAUUCCUCAAGCGAUAAAUUAUCUGCUUUGAUAACUCUUUCUUACUUUAUCGCUUAAUAUAAUGUUAUAUCUGUCUUGAUGAGACAUCCCCUGUUCCAUAUCUCUUAAAUCAAUUCGGAGGACUUAUGGUCCUCUCUUUCCUGAUCUUUUUAGAUCAAGAUGCCUCCGAGAAAGAGACCCAGCUAAAAGACCAACAACCCUGCCACCACNGAAAUUGACCCCGUGGUAUUUCAGGCAGCUGUUACCGCCGCGGUGGCAGCUGCUAUGUCUCAAUUGAACACCAGUGGUUCCGGUGGUUCGGGAGGUAAUACUCAAACCCAAAACCAAGAAAGCAGUCAGGGACACCGAAAAUAGGGUUCCUAUAAAGACUUCAUGAAUGCGAAACCCACAUCCUUUGAUGGCACUGGAGGUGUCAUUUCCCUCACCCAAUGGUUCGAGAAAAUCGAAUCAAUCUUUGAAAUAUGUGCCUGUUCGGAAUCUAACAAGGUAAAAUUUGCCGCCUGCACCUUCCUUGACAAAGCCCUGACUUGGUGGAACGGCCGAGUCAAAUCCUUAACUCUACCUGUAGUAAAUGCUAUGGGUUGGGAAGUUAUGAAGGAGCUUCUGCUCGCGGAGUAUUGCCCUCGAGGCGAAAUGCAGAAGCUAUAACACGAACUCUGGAACCUGAAGAUGAAGGGUUCCGACAUAGUCGCUUAUACUUCAAGAUUUGAUGACCCGACAUUACUCUGUCCGGGAAUGGUUACCUCGGAGAGUAAAAAGAUUGAGAGGUUCAUCUGGGGGCUGACCCAACCAACAAAAGGAAACGUCUUAGCUGCGAAGCCGGACACAUAUGACAACGCUAAAUGUCUUGCGCAAACCCUGAUCGAUCAUGAAGACAGCCCCGAUGAGGAGGCUACCAUUUAUGAGCCAGUCACAAGUGGAGGUGGAAGUAAAAAGAAAUUCUGGAACAAGCGGAAGGCCCAAAGUACGCAAGUGUCCUCUAAGAAACAGAAAACGAUAGCAGUCCAUGCUGCUACUGCCCCUGUUGCUGUUUCUGCUGUCGGAUCCACAACCCAAACUCCUAUCAGUGGAUACACUGGUACCCUUCCUUAGUGCACAAAGCGCAGCUACCAUCACCAUACUCCUGGUGCAUGUCGCGAAAGAAUCUGCGAGAACUGUGGCAAGAAGGGCCACCUUGCUCGAACCUGUAGAAAACCAGCCAAGUCAACAAAUCAAUCUUCCGGGAUGAGCAUCGGUCAGGCCUGUUAUAAUUGUGGUGAAGUUGGAUACUUCAAUAGGAACUGUCCCAAGGCAGCAACAACCGGCAACGCCGAGAGAGUCCUAGCUAUGGGAGAAUUUGAGACAACAGCCGAUCCCACCGUUGCCGCAGGUAUACUCCUCUUUGACAACUCUUACGCCUGCAACUCUUUUCGAUUCUAGUACUAAAAGAGAAACCAGUUAUCUAUCCAUUCAAACAUCUUUCUAAGCUCAAACCUUCGUUAGUAAUCGAAAAUGUGAACCGUCAAGAUGGCUAACCAGUGAGAUAGAGAACGCUAAUUUCGUACCUAUAGAUUGUAUCCUCAAUCCAGACGAUUAUUCUAUUCCAUUCAAUUUAAUGGCAAACUUUUCAUGAAAUGCUUUGAUGCUAUUUUUGGCAUGUAAUGACCGAGCCUCAUUCAUGCUGUUAUUCUUGGUUUCGAGAAAUCCAUCCGUCUUAACCUUCUUUCGACCCGACUCUCAUGAUCUUUGUGCAUCAAAACUUAAAAAGUUUUCCCAUGUAUUCCUCAUCCAUGUGAUCAUCGAGAAACGGGAAGUCUGCAGCUCUUUCCCUAAUGUCUUUCCUGAAGGAUUCCCGAUAAUUCUUUCCGAACGUCUAGUCUAGUCUCGCACCGGCCUAAUCCCUGCAACUAUCUCGUAACCAAACCUCAGUAAGGACGAUGUGUCCAAGACAGCAACCAGGGCUUGAUAUGAUCACUACGAGGUAGUAGUGGUGCCCUUCGGUCAAACCAUUUUCACUGAUCAUGUAGCUAAGCAAAGCAGUCAUACCCGUGAACCUUUAAAAAAACUAAGGCGAUAGGGAAUUAGUCGGCACCAGAGAUACCCAUAGAAACCUGUUGAUUCUUGGGUCCCAUCGACUAUUAUCGCAGACCUACCCAUAAAUUUCUUCUAGAACCAUCAGACCCUUAACUACUCUGGUACAUGAAGAUGUGCGUCCUUGUUGGAGCGUGUGCCCUGUUGAAGGCCUUAUCCCAGAAAAGCAUUAUAUGCUUUGGGGAAGUGCGAAAUACUUCACUCGUGACACACUAGACCCUUUACCAUCCUCGUUAGGACCAAUUCCGUAACCUUCGAACUCUGGCUACCUUCAGAACUUAGUAACAUCCAUCUUGUCUUCCACGUCUCGAAUCCUUAGAAGCACCUACCCAACGAAACCCUAGUAAUUCCUUUGAUGAGACUGAAGUCAACGAAAGUCUGAACCUCCAUGGGAGAACAAAUUUUGAUCAUGGAUUGAGAGAGUGAAUGCAUGAAACAAAGACGCGUCCCGAUAGUGAGUGUUCGCUGCAACGUCAAGAGGAGACCAGAUUCCACUUGGGAGCGUGAAGAUCCGAAGCAACAAAUCCAUCCAUAUCUCAUUCAAAUUCAUGAUCUGUAUCUUAAUCUUUGAAUUUCGGGAUGAAAUUCCCUCUAACGGGGGGAUAAUGUGACAACCCGAAGUUGUCCAUCGCCGAAACCCGCUCUACCCGUAAAAAUCCGCCCUUAUCAAUUCGUUCCGAUUUCGUUUUUGGGCUAAGUUAUUUAAAGAUAUAUGUUUAUUUUAAUCUCAUGAGUGUCCAAACCCCUUAGGAACUCAUGAAAUUGGCCCAAAAUGUUUAUUUGAGAAAUUUUUAGAAACGUCCCCGCCGGGUUACUUCAACUUAAUCGGGUGUGACCAAAAGCCCCGUUUAGUGUCGGUAUCGGGUAGAAUUCUACCGUGUCCAAAUCUUGGAACCUACUUAAAUGGGUUUAAGCUUCCAUUUGAAGCUUUUGCUCUCUCUCCCUACUAUCUCUCUAACCUCUCUCAUCAACCAAAGAUUCAAGGUCCAAAUCAUUGAUUUAAGGCUCCAAAUCUUUGAGGUAACUCCCCCUAACUUGUAGUUCAACCUCUUAGGCCUUCAAAUUCGUGUUUAAACUUUGAUUUUGGACCUCAAACAUGAGUUUACGGCCAAGGAGCAUGCUUGGGACGUAAACACAUAAUAAGAGGGUUUUUAUGCCUUUAAACCCCUCCAAAGCAAACUUGGGACUUAGAUACGACUGUAUGGCUUACCAUUCUAGACUUAGAACACCCUAAACAUGAAUUUUGAGGAGUAAACUUGAGUUUACUGCCCAAGAACAUGCUUGGGCCGUAAACUCCUCAUUCAUGGAGAGUAAACUCAAAAACAAGUGUUUAAAAGCCAUGUAAACACACCAUGAGCAUUGGAAUAAAUCCUAGAACCAACCAAAAUACGUUUGGAGACCUUAAGCAUGAUGAAAUCCUCUCAUUUAAGAUUUUACAGCCAUAACACCCCAAGAAAUAGUUCCAGGGCCGUAAACUCAUAAAAACAUGUCAAAUGGUGCCCUAAACUUCAUUCUCAGGCUUGUAAAUUUAGUUUGGAUCACAUGUGAUUGAUCUAAAGCCACCAAAUCAUCAAUAUAAGAGGGGUAUAGGAGCUUACGGCCAUAAACUCCAUGUUUAGGGCCUUAAACUCCCUUUGAUGGUGUUAUUGGUGACUUAAUUCAUUCUUAAGCUUUAGAUAAAUUCAUCCCAACAUUUCUCAAGUGUUAUCUUACCAUUUGGCACCAUAAAACCUCACAUUCAUGAGUUCACGGCCGUGAAAUCAUAUGGUUAUGGUCUUAGGGCUGUAAACUCCCUAAGGAGUUUACUCUUGAAGUCCAAACUCGUUAUCAAAUCCACACACAUCUGUAGAUGUCACCCGGGUCACUCCAAACACUUGAUUUGAAGUGUUUUCGCUCAUUGGAGUGUAUUAUCAUAUCUAAUUAGUGUUUUAAAAUCUAAAUAGAUAUAUUUGUGUAUUAUUUAAUAUUACAUAGGAACCACGCACGUUCAAGCCUCGAUUAGACGUUUAGCAUCCGAAUCGACCCAUUCGGCGUCCAGUGAGUUCAUACCCCUACUCUUUUUCAAUGGUUUUUCAAUGCUUUCAGGGGGGAAUACAAGCAAAAAUAGAAAUGUUUUCAAAACCUUAAAUUGAUGUAUUUCAAUAAAUAUCUGGCAAACUUAUAAAUAUCUUUACCCCUUAUGUAUUAUGCUAAGCAUAAGGGAUGAUUUAUCAACUACAACAAUAUGAAUUUAUGUUAAGGAAACAAUCAAACUAAUCAAAUUAUUAUGGGAAUAAUUUGGGGUUCUUUAGUUCUUGUUUAAACACAUACUGAUAUAUGUAAAGUUAUUAGAUAAACUAUGUCUAAUUUAGUUUAUCUCUGUUUCAUUUAGAAUGUAUUGCUAGAUAAUUUCAUUGUAUAUAUCUGUAUUCACUGUAUCAUGUUUCAUAACGUUUAGUAUGUUUGAUAUUGUAUGAGAACUCCGUGAAUAAUUUAGUACUAGCUUGUGAGUUUCGUCCUUACCCUUCGGGUUAUCUGUAAAUCCUCCCCGGAAGUGUAACCAAAGUCUCCUGGAGGGAGAGCAAUGAAUUUGUGAACAGAUCUAUUCGUGACUGAGAAUCCCACACCUUAACUGCUAGCUACAGUUAGGCUGGCACACCCGGGGUGACAAAUUCUGGAUAUCGUCCGACGUUUGACAAGCGUCAAGCAGGUCUCGUUGUCGUAUCAGUAUGGUUACCCGACUCACAAUACGUAUUAAUAUAAGUUUAUUCACGGUUUGGUUUUGGUUUUGAUUCGAUUUCAUAUCUAUUUUCUAUGUAGUACGCGAUGAUAGUCCCAUGGUUUUCAGCCUAUUGAUUUUGUAUCUAGUGCGGGAUGGUAUUCCUAUGGUUUUCAGUAUAUAUAUAUUACAUCUCUAGUGCGGGAUGGUAGUCACAUGGUUAGAGUCUAUAUCUAGUACGAGAUGGUAAUCCCAUGGUUUUCAACUUAUAUCUAGUACGGGAUGAUAUUCCCAUGAUUCCAAUCUAUAUCUUGUAUGGGAUGGUAGUCCCAUGGUUUGGAAUCUAUAUCUAGUACAGGAGGAUAGUCCCAUGCUUUUCAAUAUAUAUCUAGUCCGGGAUGGUAGUCCCAUGGUUUUCAAUCUAUAUUUAUCUAUAUUUUCAUGUAUAUCAAACUAUCUUGUAUCUAGUACGGGAUGGUAGUCCCAUGGUUUUCAAACUAUUUCUAUCUAUAGAUUCGUGUAUAUCAAACUAUCUUAUAUCUAGUUCGGGAUAGUAAUCCCAUGAUUUUCAGUAUAUAGUUUUAUGUAUUAAACUAUACUCUGUGAUAUUCAACCGGUCUAGCAUUUAGGAAAAUAUGGGAUUUUCCUGGGGUAACAUAUAACAUGUAAUCGAAUUAGUAAUAAAUGAUAACUAAGCUGUUUUACAUAAGAAAAUAUCGGAUUUUUUUGGAUAACAAACGUUUUCAGAAAACUAUAGGAAACUGGUACAUUUUUCCGAAAACAAACAUCUUAUGAAGUUACCAGCUUUAUGUUGAUUUUCAAACCGCUUGUAUUCUCAGGUUCGCAUUAGACAGGUACCCGAUGAUCUCUUUUGGCGAAGAUGGAGUGCGUAGAAGACACGUCUUACUUUUGUUCAUAUAUACUAUGUAUCACACUUGUACAAUUUACUUUUGAAACAAAUGUAAACUUUUAUAUAUGUAAUGUAACGGUUGUUUACUUUGCUUACUAUGUGCAUUAGAUUUGAUACUCAACAUGGAUUCAUCCCCGGAAAUGUUUCCGCCUUCGGUUUUCGGGGUGUGACACGAAAAAUAAACAAAAAACCGUAAACUCAUGCCUUAAGCAUGAAUUUACUCCCCAAACUAGUCAUUUUAUAUUUACUCCCCAAUUACCAAAAGAGUAAUAUCAUAAAAAUCCUCUCAAGUAUCAUCCUAGAAUUUAUUCAAGAUCUUAAAUCUAGUAAGUGUUUCUAGCCCUUUCAAGUUAGUAUAUCACUUAAUCUAGUGAUUGUACAUCCUUUGAUCCAUCCAUUUUUCUAUUUUGACUAGUUUUCCAAAAGACCAAGAACACCAAGAACACACACUAGUGUUCUUGGACUUUAAGUUCAUUUCAAGCUUCCACGAAGUAAGUACUUCUAUCCAAGAGUCAUUUAAAGCUUGCUAUACAUGUUUACACCAAGGAAAAGUCCCAAGAACACCAAGAACAAGGUGUUCACGGUUUUGGGAGGCUCCGAAAAAAGUAAACACCAAAUUUAGUGCCUUAGGGUGCUUUAGAGUGUCUAUAUACUUCAUUAUGCCGUAAGGACUCGUAUAGAUCCAUCCUGGAUGUGUAUAUCACCUAAAAGACCAAGAAAACAACCAUUUAUAUGCGUUUACGAUUUGGGGAUCUCCCAAAACCGUAAACACCCCAAAAAGUGGUUAAAUGUCCCAUAAAAGUCCCAUGGUUGUUCCUUAUGUCUAAAUCUAACCUAGACUAUUGCGAUGAUUGAGCUAAGAACAUGAAAACCACCAAAUACCAAACUUAGGAGUUUGAGGUAGUAAACUCACAAGUUUAAGGUAGUAAACUCAAGAGUUUAAGGUAGUAAACUCAUGGAGUAAUGGUCCUUAGACCGUAAACUCCAUUUAGGAGUGUUUUGAUGCCACACAACACUUCCUAAGGCUAAAUCAUGAAGUAGGAAUGCUUGGAAUAACUUAGAAGACUUCAAAACAACAAAUGGUCAAAAAGUUAGGAGUUUACGACCAUAAACUCAAGAGUUUACGACCGUAAACUCAAGGGGUGUUGGUCUUUANNNNNNNNNNNNNNNNNNNNNNNNNNNNUUCCCUACAACACUUAGAUGCACUCCUUAAUACUUAUAACACUUAUGCAAAGUGUUUGUCAUGACCUAGAGUGUCUUGACUUGUUUAUUAGUUGUUUAAAGACUAAUUGUUUAUAUACAUAUAUCCUUAUAUGUUAUUAGGAUCUUUGUGCGUAUCUAAGUCUUCACUUGACACCAACCACUUAUCCGACACUUCCUUCCGAUCCACUUGUUACAGGUGAGUUCAUACACCUUAAUCAAUGUUUUAAAUGUUUUUAAAUGCUUUAUGCGGGGGUACAAGUAGAAUCAUGCUACUUAUUAUAUCAAUCACAUGUGAUUAAUAAGCAACAUUCAAAUUAUUUACUAUUCAUUAGCCGUUUUACCAAACAGUUUCCUUCAAAUGAUUUUCAUAAACACUUUAUAUGUUUAAAACUCCUUAUUAAACUGUACAUUUUACUCUGUAUGUUUCAUUUCAAACUCAUUUACACUUAUGUUUCAAACAAAUGUUUCUUUAUACUUAAACUGUUUUAUCAAACCCAUGCCUUCAAACCGUUUUAUAGAUUGACAUCAAGUUGAUCUUUACUUAGAUAAUAAUUAUGUUCAAAGGUUUUACAAAACUUAUUUUAUGCUUUUAUAUUAUCAAUUGCAAAACUUAAGAAGGCUAUCCACCCUAUUUCCUUUUGGCGCUUGAGAUGUGGUCUGGUGGGACAUCGGGUAUCCGUCUGAAGGUUGUUUAAAUAUUAGUUAUAUAUC
rnacentral:lncRNA from 1 species